rnacentral:lncRNA from 1 species
UUAUUUGCACCCUAUGUACAUAAACCAAGCCAGCAUCUAACGUUAUUGAAGACAGUUUCGUAGAAUGCCGGGAGGUGAGAUAUUUCUUGUACUGCUUAAUCAGCCACUCUGAGGGUUCAUAACAACAUUCUUUCAUAUGGAACAGUUUGUCUAAGGCAUCUAGGGGGAAGGAAUGGUCUGUCUCAGCGGUGCGAGAGAGAGAGAGAGAGAGAAAGGGAGAGGGAGUGGAAAAGGACAUUCUGAACUAACAAAUUGAUCUCUUUCGUCGUCUAACUCCGAGUCAACCUCUCUCAGUCAACAACCCCCCGCUGCAAGAUGCCACUGCAUUGCACUAGUCAGUCAUUCUCUCCGUCACUGCUCCGCAACGAUAGGAGGGAGAGUGAGAGUAGAAAAGCCAGGAUUCCCUCCGCUUCGCGGGCCAUUCCUGGUGACGAAUGCGAAGGUGGCGACGGCUCUGCAUGAGCCAACGUGCUCGUCAAGUUAAGGAAGCAAUUGGCCUCGGGACGCACGACGAGAGAGUAUACCGUACCGCCCACGUGUCGGUAGGCCACUGGUUCUCCAACCCUCUUUUUCUUUUUCUUUUUCUUUUUUUGCCCUUUCCACUGGUGACAUUCCGACGAGGACUCGAUCCUAUCCAAAAACCACUACCAUAGGAUUUAAUAUCAUUUGUUGGGAGUGGGCAGCAUAAUCCCAAUACCUUCACUUAGAGAAAUCACCAAGAAAGAGCUCAAGUACAAGCCCAUCAAUAUAUUCAAUUAGACCCAUAUUUACUCAAAAGCUUAAACUAAUGGGUUAUAAGCCAAUCAAGAUAUAUUAACUACUAUAUACUACAUCAGUUCUCUGAUAUGAAAUUUCUUUAAUAAAACUCACGUGUGUAUCCUAACGAGGUCCACCUAAAUUAAAUUUGCAAUAGAACUUAUUAACAAUCCCAAAACCUUGUUGCCUUGUUUGAUGUCCCAGUGAGGUUAAUUAGACUCUAAUCAAGACCCAUUGAUUAGUUUCUCUAAAUCACGACACUUCAGAUCAAGCUCAAGAUCUUUCGUCCCAUUCUGUCAUUGAAGAAUUUUAACUUAUUUAAUCUGUUAGAUAACACUUUUACAACUUACUCUUAACAUCUUGAGAUAAUGUGGGAUCAAUUUAAGAGGAUCGAAAGAAGAUUUCAUGAGGAUGGCAUGUGUAGGGACCAUGUCACCCCUCCACCAUUGACACAACUUCUACUAGCCCGUGCGCGGGCAAGGGUCGACCCUCCUAUCCUUCUCAUCGAGCGGUAGCAAUUCGAAUCUCAUAUUAUACCAUACAAGAGUUUUGUUUUCAGAUUUUUAUUGAUAGAUAAGUUUUUAAGUUAUCAAAGUACAUAUUUAUGAAAAAUUCCAAACUAUAAUAAAUAAAUAAAUAAAUAAAAGAAUACUACACAGUGUGCAAUUCAUAAUGGGUUGAAAGUGUUCUAUAUGAAAAGUUAGUUACUAAUUAUUGAUGAGUCGAAAGUUACUUAUUCUUAAGAAAAAUGUUGUGAAACUAACGGAUCUUGCACUUGGAGGAACAAAAAAUUACCAUAGAAAUGAACAGUGAACAAUUAGUCACCAGAGAUUUACGUGGCUCAUUUCAAUUGUCAAUACCUACCCGGUGAGAAAAUUAACUACCAUAAAAUCUACUAUGAAUCUAGGGAGUAUAAAUUUUACUGUCUUUCAAUUACUUAAAUGUUUCCCAAGCAUUAAUUAUAAACAAAGUGAAGCCUCAAGUAUCAUAUCGUAAUCUCAUAUGGAAAAUUCACUCAAAAAAUGUACAUAAAAAAAAAUCUUAACACUUCAUCUAUUGUGUAUAUAAAGGUAGAAUUUCCAUCUCCUAUAUAUACAUGAUAUUUCUUUCCAAAAUAAGAGACACUACUAAAGCUAGAAAACCUAACCAAAUUAAGGUUCCAUUCAUUUCGCAGAAAAUAAUUUCUGGAAAAACGUUUUUUGAAUUUUCCAACGUUCGUUCCACAAAAAAUGAAUUUCUUGGGGAAAAUUUUUUUUAUAAAAAGAAAAAAGUUUUCUAAACUAGGAGAAAAUAUUUUCCAUUUUUGAAAAGUAAAAAACAUUUUCCUCACAUGAUCUCUCUUAUCUCUCAACUCUACAAAUCCUCACCUUCUCCUCCCUUUUCCUCUUCUUCUUUUCUUUUUUUUAUUCGAAUUAUUUUUUAAUUUUCUUUUUCUUUUUUAAUUCGAGUUAUUUAUUUUCCUUUUUCUUUUCUAUUUCUUUUCUUUUUUUCUUUUUUUCUUUUUCUUUUCUUUGUUUCCCAUCUACAUCUUUCUUGUUAGGCGAACCUCGAGCUCAUCGAUCUCAAGCUCGCACUCAUCAAUCUGGUGAGCCUCGAGCUUGACGCUCACGCUCGCCAAUCUAGGGAGCGACAAGCCUUGUGCUUGUCGGCAAGCUCGAGACUCACCGGUGCCUGACAACCGGCCAAGAACGGCCAAGAAAGAAGGAAAUAGAAACCAAAGAAAAAUGAAUAAUAGAUUUUAAAAAAAAAUCAAUUUUUAAAUAUUAUGAAAAUAUUAUGAAAAUUACAUUUUAAAAAAUAAAAUAAAUGAAAAAGAGUAUAUGUAGAAAAAUAUUUUCUUUACCGAACAACGAAAAAUUUUCAGGUUUCAUCCAAACACCAAAAAAUAAUUACAUUUUCUUGGAAAAUAUUUUCUAGAAACACCACAUUUUCCGCGAAACGAACAGAACCUUAGAAAAUCAACUAUCUUUACAUACUCAAACUUGACAUAUAUUCUCAACAAAAACUAAUCAAUUUAUGGAAAAGUUACUAAUCAUGUAACAAGUUAAUCGGCAACAUGAUAUAUUGGUACUUUUUUUGUAUGAAAAAUGGUGUCUAAGAUACUCGUCUGAUUGAAAAUCUACCGACCAUGAAAAUAUCAGUAGCGACUGAUGCAUACUAACUCUUCAAGCACAUAAAGUCACCAAUUCCUAUGAAUAAGUUGUCAACCAUUUAGAGAAUGAAAGUUAUUUGUCCCCAUGAUAAAUCACUAAUCUCGCGAAAAUAAUUAUGAGUUUUUGACAUAUGCAUACCCUUCUCCUUACUAGUCACGCACAAAAAUAAGAAUGGCGUACUCAAUUAUCGAUGCUUUAUUUUUCCUAAUGAAAAGUUGCGGAACUACUACCUAAUCACAUCCUAGUAAAGUUUUGACAGAAAUAUUGAAAGUCUAUUUAUCUUUAAUAAGCAACGCUUACGUAAUUUAGAGAAAAGCAACUUCACAUAUAUAGAUUGCCAGAAAUUUCUCCAUAAGUGCUACAAAGAUUUCACUACACAAGUAUAAGAUUCAAUAGAAAAAAGAGAAAAAAAAAAUCCCACGAAAAACCCCAACUAUAUCCACUAUGACACAUUUACCUUAAAUUUAAAUUUGUACCUAUCUAACACAUUUACCAUCCUUUAAAGUUCCAUCAAACGAUAUUUCCAUCAAACGAUAUUUCCGUCAAAAAUUUUAAAUCAUCCGACGUCCAUGUAGACAGAUUUUUAAAAUUUAGACGGAGGGCAAAUUAGGCCCCAUAGAUAUAAAUUUGGAAUUUUUGGUAUCACCAAAAAAAGUCAAGAAUAAAUGUCAAACUGGCAUAGUAUGAUUUUUUUUUUUUGGCUUUUUCCCUAGAAAAUAAUAACCAUUGAAGUAUUUAUAUAGCUAGUAAUUCGGUCAUGUAAUUAGUUAUUAUAUAUGAGGGAAGUAACUAAACAUGCUGAUUAUAAGUUCCUAUUCCACUUUUAUUUUCCCACACAUACCAAAUAUGUCCUCAGUUCAGAGUAGGAAGAAAAUCGCCCUUCCUCGGGGGGAAAAACGAGUGAGAAAUCAAUAAAUAAAUAUCAACAUCCUAUUCCAAAUGACUACACAUCAGAGUGUCGCAGCGGCAAAAGCAGCCUAAGCACCAAAAGGUUACAAACAGUUUUCUGCAUCUCGAGGAAAGACAGCAGCAGCUUCGGUAUCACAGCUUAAGAAGGUGGUGAUAAUGAAUAAAUGGAUAUCAACAUCCUAGUCCAAAUGACUACACAUCAGUCAAAUGUGAGUCCGAGAAGUGAAACCAAGCCCCUAAAUAUUACAUACAGCUUAUUUUCGCCUCGGAACUGUGCAUAAGUUUAAUGAAAUGCAUUUAUACAUGCGGUUCAGCAACAAUUAGUAAGUCUCUAGAAGAAAACAUUACAGUUUCGAACCAGAAUCCGUCCCACCCCGAGAAGUGGAUAAAUCUGUGCUUCUCGAUCAAAUGGAACAGAGCCUCCAAACCAAUCAAACAGCAUAGGCAUCCUGUGGAAAGGGCAAUUUGUUAGGCAAUUGCAUGUAACUACGGUUAUCGUAAAAGAGGGUCAAGGCUUAGGUCAUCAGAUAAUUAUGAAUGACCAUCAUGUGCAUUAAGUUUCAACUAAUACUGACUGCAAAUUCAUACAACUGAAUUAAAUGACAGGUAGACUUUCAAGUCCCAGCUUGCAUAUAGUAGACAUAAUGCCAAUUGUACUAAAGUAGGAGCACAAUGAAGAAACUACUGCUGUGUGAAAUUCCUUGGACAUGCCGCGAUUCAGCAGUCAUAGUUUAACAAGUGCCUGCAGAGAUGCAGAGAACAGCCCUCACAGUUUCUCAUACAUACCGUGCUGGCAAAACAUUGUUUUAAGAAAAUUGUUGAAAAGGUCAAUCAUUUUGCACACUCAUUCAAUCUUACCACCACCUCAUAACCAGUUCACCGCUGACCAUAUUUGACAAAGUUAUCAACCGCAAUUUGUUAACAAAAAUCCAUCAAGGUGACAUGGUACUAUGUCCAGGGAGACAGUGGAUAUUAGUACAAAGGGAUGCAGGAACACCCACAGAGACAGCUUACAUUCUUGGAAGGCUGUCUAUAACAUAGCAACAAAAUUGAUCAAGGUCCUACAUCGAAGGGGAAGGUGGAGAUUCCAGAACAAUAGUAAAGACACGACUACAGAACAUUAUGUAGAAGUAAACCCGUUAAAUGGGUGGGUCGGGUCGGGUCAUAAAUGGUCUGACUCAAAUCGACCCAUUUAACCCGUUUAUAACCCAUUUAUUGCAAUACAAAAAAUUUGACUCAUACCCGACCUAUUUAACUAAACUUAAGAAAGCUUAUUUCUUAUAUAUAUAAAAAUGGUAUUGCUAAAAUAGUUUUAUACUACACAAAUUUAAUGGACAAUUUUUAUAAUUUUUGAAAUAAUUAUUUUUAAAAAAUCAAAUUUUAAUUAUUUUAUAUUUUUAAAAUUAAAUUUUUAAUUCUUUUUCUUUUUCUUUUUUAAAUAUAUUUUUCUUUUUUCUUUUUUCUUUCUUGUUCUUCUUCUUCUUUGGCCGGCCACGACGAUGGCCGGCGGCCGGCCAGAGGCGAGCCUCGAGCUCGCCCGGCUCGCCAACGCUGGCAAACUCAAGGCUCGCCAGAUCGGCGAGGCUUGAGCCUCACCGAUCGUCGGCGAGGCCUUUGCCUUGCCAGAUCUGGCGAGCUCGAGCUCGCCCCUCACCGGACGUCGGCAAGGCCUUCACCUCACUGGAUCAAGUGAGCUCAAGGCUCGCUUGGCCAGUGAAAAAAAAAAUUAUUAUAAUUAAAAAAAUUAUUAUAAUUUCGAUUUAUAUAUAUAUAUAUAUAUAUUUUUUUUUUUUGUAAAGUUAAAAAGAGAGAUUGUGAGGUUUUUGGUGAAAAUAAGUUCUAAUUCCAACCCAUUUAAGACCCACUUAAGACCAACCUAUUAAAUUCUUUAAUUAUUAAACCCAUUUAAUUACUUUUUGUCAAAAAAACAAAUGACAUAUAUAUGACCCAUUUAUGAUUUAAAUGGGUCAUAUAUGGGUCUAAGACCCGUUUUGCACCUUUAUAUAGAAGUCAUGAUUUCUUACAAUAUUAUGCGCAUAGGAAAUGGACAGAAGAAUAACAAAAUAGAAAAAAACUUUACCUAUUCAGUGAAAACGCUGAUAAGAUCAUUCGACGAAAGUUGCUCCAAUACUGGGAUAGACACUUUUGCAUCCACAAAGUCAAAGCUCGGUUCUUGUUUGACUCUACCUGCACUACUCUCCAGAUGGACUUUUCCACUGUAUAUUUGUUUCAACGGUGGUCCAUAUUCAUCAACUGUGAAAAGGCUUGGGGUGCCUGAUCCCUUACUAACAAAUCCUAGAUUCUUUAGCAGUCCUUGAUAAAUGGCUUCACCUGACUUAGCAUCAUAAGAACCCUGGAUAUUGGAAAAAUCAUAAACAACACCCGGUGCUUGUCCAACGAUGUUAUAUUUUGCAGAUGGAUUCCGAAGUGGACAGCUAUUGCUACUGUCAGCAUUCGCUGAACUAGACGACAAAGUCGGUGAAAUGGAACCUUGUACAGAGUAGCCACCAAGUACGCCAGAGGUUUUGAGAUCUUUAUCUGAGACCAGACCAGUAUUUAAAGCAGAAUUGCCUUGAUAUGAUGGAAAACUGUAGUCAAUGACGGCACUUCUAUUGUAGGUGGAACUCUGGUUCACAGAAGCAGGACUACCCGCUGCUUGAAAACCAGCUGAUGAGUGGGGAACAACAAGGCAAGAUGGUUGCACAUUAAUUAAACGGCUAGGCUCUAGGAGAGGCUGUUGUGGCAGUUAUUGCUGUUGCUGUUGUUGCUGCUGCUGCUGCUGUAAUUGCUGCUUUUGCUGAUACUGCUGUUGUCUUUGAAAUAUAUCCAUCAAAGUGUUAUUACUCUGAAUAUUCGACCCUGCAACAAUGUUAUUGUUUCCAACUGUACUAAGGCUAGUAGCUUGCCACGGUCCAAAUCCCGAAGGUGCAUCCUGACUCGAUAGAAUGGACUGUUGAUACUGCUUGGAGACAUUAGAUGGGCAUUUAAUCAGAGGCUGGCCAAAGGCCACACCAUGUUCAACAGGAAGACACUUGGAUCCCUGCAGGGAAGCUUGCAAGAGAGUUGGCUGAUCAAAUGACGGUAACACUAGGUUGCUUGUUGGUCGACCCAAAAGCUCAGAUUGCAGUGCUGCUAAUGCCUGCGGAGAAAUCUGACCAGAGGCUGCCAAAGCUUGAAUAUCAUAUCUUCCCAGGGGACCCAACUUGAUAUUUGAUUCUACAGUUCCACAGAAUGAACUAGAUAUCCCGCCUUGCUGCUGAGCUACUCCACUUAAUCUCUUCAAAUACAACCUAAGUUUCUGAAAUUGUUUGACACAGCCAGCAAAACUCAGUACCCAGACAAGAUGAUCAUAUGCAAACUAGAUCAACUAGACAUUCUGUGCAAGUGACAAAAGAUGAUAUCAUAUUCAGUUCAACAACAGCUACAACAGUAAGCAGUUUCUGCAAAACCAUUGAAUUUUACAAAUAAUUACUUAUUCAUGCUACAUCAGCAUCAAAAGAAGUUUAAAAGAAAAGGGUGAAUGACACAAAUGGUCUCUGAAUUUUGGUCCAAUAAACAAUGUGGUUCCUAAAUUAAAAAACAAAAAAAAAAAAUUGUAUUUUUUUUUUUUUGAAGUAUGGCCAUCGGACCGCCGGAUCUAGCGGCCGAACCACCGAAUCUGGCAGUCAGAUGGCCAGAUCUAGCCCCCGAAUGGUCGCCGAGGUCAAGCAACCCUAGGCUGCCCAAUCUCAGGCGAUCGACCGCAUGGGUCGCGUAAUUCAGGCCAUCAGUCGCCUGGGUCGCGCGACCUAGGCGUCACCUAAGGUCCAGCGAUGGUCGCCAGGGUCGGGUGGUCGCCGGCGCGCGUGACCCCCUAGCUGGCGAUCAUCAACCUCCGAUUGGCUUCUCCACCGGAGAAGAUGAACAAUUAUCGUCUUUAUUCAAUUAAGGCACUCCGUGUAUGCCAUGCUCCAAUGUGUCUUGCUCGAUUGUAAUCGCUCGAUUCAAAACAUCUUUGUACAUUGUUAGUUCAAAAGGUAUGAGCAUAGUACAGAUAUCCAAUUGAAGUAGCAUUGAAAGUGUUAACCCUUACCUCUUUCACUAGUCGCAAAACCAUCCUCAAAUCUACUUCAUUGAUUAAAAUGGGUCACGUAUUACAUAAUUGUUGAGAUACCUUGAGAUAUAUUGACAAAGUCGCUUCUUAUCUUUACUUGGAAGGACUCUGAAAAGAAUUAUGCAUUAAAACCUUCACUAAAAUCCUUCCAUGAAAUGACUACAUCAUUACCUUCGAAGACCGGUCUAGUUCCUUCCCACCAACAAAUAGCUUUGCCUUCAAAACAUCGAGUGGCAAAGUUGACUUUUUGUUCAUCACGAACAUUCUUGGCUCUGAAAAUCUCCUCCAUGUUUCUAAUCCAACAGUUGGCCUUGAAAGGAUCCAAUUUUGCUUAACUUAUAUGGGUCCGCCAUUCUCAAUUGGAUGAAUGUGCAUAAGCCAAUUACUCCAUCUUCACUUAAUUAUUUCACUUGACUAUAUUAGUGAAGCAUUGCCUACAUGAACUUAGUCGGAGGAACCAACUCUUGGCACUUUUCCUUGGCUGCAUGCAAGUUGAGACUCUCAUCAAAUUGGUCCUCUAAUCUCCUCCUUGAAGCUAUACCUCGAGAAGCUUGAGGCAUAUCUCUAGUAUGGGGGUAGCAACUCCCUUACCUUUGCAACUCCUAUGAAGUAAGGCAAGCGUCUCUGAGUUGGAACACAUGGUCACCCGAAACCAAGAAUGAAACUAUAUCUUAGUAUCUAAAAGCCUAAGCACUAAAUUCUAUCAUAUGAUCUCACAUUGUUUGAAAUAUGUACUCAUAAAAGUUAAAACUUAAACUUUAAUACCAAAAGAUGUCACGUCCCAAAAUUACAAAAAUAUGGGGAUGACGUGGCCGUCCUUCCCCACGAAAGAUGCAGCUUCAAAUAUAACUAACAACCCGAUAUCAAAAUAUAUAUCUCCAACCAUAUUUACGUAUCAAAUAAACCAACUGGUUGGUUACAAUAUCAGAGUUUCCUUAAUCCACCACAAAGAAUAUGACCCGACCCAAACCCGACCCAACCCACCCGUUUAACGGGUCUAUGAUUCCUUAAGCUAUACCCAAAAGUAUGACUCCCAAAAGUUUCCCAUAAUAGUACUCUCGUCCUACUUGCUGUUAACUGAGGGACCUGAAAAACAUGAAGAAUGAGUAGAAUGAACAACCACAGCUCAAUGAGUAAUAUAUAACUUCUAAGAAGCAACAUUUCCCUUUCAUAUCUAUAAAAUCAAAACAUGUAUCAUUGGUUCAAUUCAAUAAUUGAACUCGUCAUAUCUCAUAUCAAUAGUUCAUUCCAUGCUCAAUAUCUAACUCAGUACUCCAAAAAUGACUCACGAAUUUUACGUUAUCAUGUAGUACUUAGUUCUUACCCAAUGUAUAUCAAAGGUACAUGGCCCUAGAUGGCUCCCACAAAUACAUUAUCAUGCAAUACUUAGCUCUUUAUUACGCGUGUUAAAAGUGCAAAACCCUAGAGGUGGCUCUCACAUGACUUAAGUUGCCAUGUAGUACUUAAUUCUUGACUACAAUGCUCUAAAGGUGAUUCAUACGAAGUUUCGUUGUCAUGUAACACUUAAUCAUUUACCAAUUCACAUUACAAUUAGUUUUUUAAACCCAAAACGUAUCAUCUUACAAGAGUUAUCUCAUAAAUCAAAUGUACAAAAUAGCACGCAUGACCCUUCAAGAAUAGUUUAUCGAACCAUCUUCAAUAACUCAACAGCUUUAUACAACAAAUAUGUCAUCACUUCCAUAUACAUAUAUAUAUAUAUAUAUGUAUAUAUAUCCUAUACAUGGGUUUUACAAAAUCAAAAAAGGUGUUAGUACUAUGAUCUUGUCGUCUACGACCCAACAAUAAAAGGUACUGAUAUUGUCAAACUUGCGGUUUAAGCGCUACGUUGCGCAGUUAAAUUGGCUUGUUUGGCAUGCGCAUAUAAAAUCCCCUUUGUCUCUUCCCUAUUUUUCUUUCUCUCUCUCUGUUCUAUCUCUCCCCCGGCAGCUCUCGGCCCCUUUUAAAACCGAGCGUGACCUGUUUCUGCUUUCCUUCUCCUUUUUUCUUUUUUUAUUUUGUUUUCCUUUUUUUUUUCGGGUCCCACCACCCAUACGAGGUCAACCCCGGACGGCCGGACGUGAUAAAGAGCGUGCCCUGAUUUUGCUUUCCUUCUCCGUUUUCUUCUCUUUUUUUGGUUUGGAAUAUGCUUAGUAAACCGUACCCUCAUAUAAAUUAUAAUUAAUCCCCCACAUAUUUUCGAAGAGAGAGAGAGGGAGAAUUUUGUCUUGUUUGGAUGCUUGUGUUCUUUCAUAGAGUCCACAAAAUGUGUGGCUGGGGAUUCACAGUCCAUUUUCCAAGCUAAGGGUACGGUUAACCAAGUAUAUUUCUUUUUUGGUGGCUCGCACCGCUUUGAAAAGUCAAAUAUUACGAAGCAACCUUGAAUAGCCGGACAUGAGAUAAAGAAAUGUCAAGAGUCAAAGAAGGCAGGGUGACUUCCAACUGAAGAAACGUCACGUUCGGCUAUGAUAGCUGUGCCAACAGUCGGAGAAUAUAUAAUGGUGAAGGCUUUAGAUGAAACGCACACAAAGUAGAGGACUUAACCAGAGCACUAGCUCAUAAAACUUAACUAGCCGAGAGAGAGAGAGAGAGAGAUGAGCAGCAGCGGCAAGGAGGAGGUGGCGGUUAUGGAAUCGUACCCGAUGAACGGUGGGGAUGGCACAUUCAGCUACAACAAGAACUCUAAUUUCCAGGUUCUUCAUUUGAUGUUAAGUAGAUGCAUUUCCAAGCAACCAUUUCUUAAAUUUCAUGGAAUAGAGCUAAAUGAUAGAAUUAAUUGUUCUGUCUUUCGCUAAGCUUUGCCUGAAUUCAGCUUUUGAAACUUCUCUCUGGUUGUUCAUCUCUUGUGACCCAUUAUGGUUUCAACGAGACAAGUAUCAAAUCAUCAAAUAAACUUGCUACUCUGACAUGCAUCGCAGAGAGUGGCAACAAACGUCGCCCGGGAGACAAUCAACGAGGUGAUCGCAGAGAAGCUCGACAUAAAGCAAUUUUCUCCUGCUCUGACCACUUUCCAGAUCGCGGAUUUAGGCUGUUCGGUCGGGCCAAACACCUUCCUCGCAGUCCAAAACAUCAUAGAGGCAGUCCGACGCAAGUACGAAUCACAAGGCCUCUCCUCCCAACUGCCUGAUUUCCAAGUCCUGUUCAACGACCACGCAUCCAAUGAUUUCAACACCCUCUUCGCUUCCCUGCCAUCUGACCGACCGUACUGCGCAGCUGGUGUGCCAGGAUCCUUCCAUGGGCGACUGUUCCCCAAGGCGUCCCUCCAUUUCGUGCAUUCGUCUUAUGCGCUUCAAUGGCUUUGCAAGGUGCCUAAAGAAUUGGUUGAUCCAAAUUCCCCAGCAUUUAACAGGGGGAGAGUUCACUACACAAGUGCUCCACGCGAAGUGAGCGAUGCUUAUACAUCUCAGUUUGCAAAGGACAUGGUGACAUUUCUGCACGCUAGAGGUGAGGAAAUUGCAAGUGGAGGCAUCAUGGUUCUAGUCAUGCCCGGGAUUGCUAAUGGCAUUCCUUAUUCACGUGUACCAUCGGGCGUGAUGUUCGACCUUUUGGGGUUCAGCUUGAUGGAUAUGGCAAAGGAGGUAAAAACUGGAAACAUUGUCAGCAAAAUUUUCUUUCUUACCAAAAAUAGUUAAAUAUGGGUGCAAGUGUAUAUCAGCAUAGUUCACUUACAGGUCUCACAAAUUUGUUUUUAGCGAAAAUAUAGAUAAUCCAUAGUUCAUGUCUCAUUUGUGCAUGUCUUAAUGUGUUUAUCAUAUGCAUGUGGACCCUUUAACGGAUUUCUUAAGGCUUUCAUUCCAUCGUUAGUUCACUUAUAUUCAAAGCAAUCCCAUUGAGUUGCACAGAUGACUUGAUGAAAGUAACUCUCUACAGGGUAUAAUAAGUGAGGCUCAGGUGGAUUCAUUCAAUUUGCCAGUGUACGCUCCCUCUCCUGACGAGAUGACGGCACUAGUAGAGAGCAAUGGGUGCUUUAGCAUAGAGAGGAUGGAUUUAGCAGCUCCUGGAUCGAAGAUCGAUGUCUCGUUCGGAGGGCAUGCUUGCAUGCUGCACUUAAGAGCUGGAAUGGAAGGCAUCAUCAGCAAACAUUUUGGAAGCGAGAUAAUUGACGACCUGUUUGAUCGUUUUCUCGAGAAAACCAAUGAAUUUUCCGACCGUUUAAACUCUGCAUAUCGUCAAGGAAGCCAACUGGUAGCGAUACUGAAGCGCAAAUAAUGCGCACUUGGGAGUGGAGUCCGCACUUUUUUCAAAUAAAGUUCCAGAUAUCUACUUUCCUCUUCGAAUUCAUACGUCCCAUAUAAGGCACUCGAAAUCUGAAUACGGUGAGGAUAUUUAGCAUUUGUCCUGGUAUGAUCUUUACAGUACUUGUAUUGCAAUUUUUGAUGAAGUAUCAAUGUAUUGAACUUUUUGGUACUCUAAGGCUUCGUUAAGCAAGAAGUGCACCAAGAAGGUGCUUCAUCAAGAAAUAAAGUCAAGCAGCAUUACGAUGCUUGUCCUCAUACAUGGAGUAGCUUUGGCACAUAAUUCUAAUUUUUUGAUUCUAUAAGUAACUAAAAUAUUUGAAAUUUGAUGUGUUGGGCUUUCUUUUCUACUGAGCUGGACUGCAUAACUUCUUUCAAUUUGUCCCACGAGAAAAGAAGAAAGAAACUAGGUAGAUUGUCUCGUGAGACCUAGAAUCGAGCGUGUAAAUAAUUGCUUCAAUGGAAGCUGAUUUCCAAACUGCAGAUUUUGGUGCAGUGAGAUAAUGAGUCGCAAAUUUUUCUGCUCCUACUUUUUAAGAUAAUAUUGUACUUUUGGCAUCAAUAUGAUCUUUAAAUUCCUCGUAAGAAAAUCUUGUUAAUCUCCUUUGUGCUGAGGAAUGUUCCAUCCCCAUGAUAACAGCUGCCGCAAAUUUUUCCCCAUCAGCCAUGGCAAGAGAAUGAUAUAUUCUCAAAUUCCAUGACAAACCAAAUCUGAUGCAGCGUCAUCUGGCCUAGAGCCAUUAUCUGAGAUUACAGAAAUGUUAUUAUGUUCAAACCCACCAGCAUUAGGAAUCCGAGGAACCUGUGGCAUGGAAGAAUAACUAUCAUACACAGAAAUUUAUGGGGUAUGCAAAGUUUAUCGCGAUACGGAAAUUCCAAUUCAGAAAGACUAUAGACAGUGAACAGCCGUUUGACAUUACCAUUAUGUACAAAAAGAUGUAAUGCACACACAAAUAGCAGUCAGAAUGUUAUUUAAGCUUCGCUACACAAACAGCAGGAAUUUAGGAGUACCGUUGCCUACACAUUUGCAGAAGACCCAAAUACAACAACUUCGGUUUCUUCAACUGAGAAAAUAUCCAAGUUGGAUUUCUCAAUUCAGACGCAAUCGGGUGAAGUAGUCUUCAAGAGUGGACUUACGAGCACUCAUCCUACCUCGUUUUUCCUUCUUAAUUUGGAUUAGUUUAUCAUAUACACACCAAGGAAAGCUAAGAUAAUGAUCUCGUUUUAAACCCUCGUUGUAGCAACCCCAAUACUCCGGAUGAUACGUGACAUGAUACCACGCAGAUGCUUUUGCAUAUUCAUCAACGGGCUCAGAAUACGAACCACUUCCCUUAUCAUUAAACCAGGUCCGAGCUUCCUUUCUCAGGGAUUUUACUGCCAUAGUGAUGGAUUCAGCGUCCCUCCUCUUGGUGAAAGAUUUGGACAUUUUUAUUAUGCAGCCACUAAGUAUUUCAGCCUCUGUGUCAAUCCCAUAAUACUCCAUCAGAUUCCCCAGCUUGUAAUCAUAAUUACCCUUGUGAUAGAAAGCGUCAUCGACAUAAUCCUCAAAUCCGUCCACUUCCAUCUCUGGGUCAUAAGAUUGCCUCGCCAUUUCCAGUGUGAACUUCCGAAUAGAGCUUGAUGCAUAUGCUUCCUCUUUGACUUCCCGGAAAAGCUUUCCGAUCACGUUGUUGGAUGGGUAGCUGGACUUGUCAAGCUUCUCCAUGAAGUCUGGGUAUUCCUUGACAUACAGAUUAGGAGGUAUCACAGCAGGUACACCAGUUUUUGGGAAGUCAACCGCAAUAGAGAAAAGUCUGGCAAGGUCUAAACAUUCAGGGCACAUGGCCUUUUCAGGCUGACUAUCUGCAAAGACGGUGUGGGCAUUGGCAAUAAUUCCAAGGCUGUCAUUAAGUAUGUAAUUUACGAAGUACUCCUCCACUUCCUGUUUAAGCAACAAAACCACAAAAGGGUUUUAAUUACCCACAUAUCCAUAGAGCAUUACAAGAGAAAUCAAGCGGCGAAUUUCCAAAUGCAACUCAUUGAUUUCGGCAAAUUGAUCAUCAAUAACCCUUCAAAAAUAAAGUGUGCUCAGAUAUACAUCUUCUCUUAAGAGUUCAAGGUAUAUAUGUGCUGGCCACUUCCAAUUUCAAUGUUCCCAACGAUUCAAAAUAAUCCGUUCAUUUCAUUAUCAAGAAAAGGAAAUGUUCUGUAACGCAAAAGAAUAAUGCAUAAACCAAUCUUAGUAGAUGUAUAUGCAUGGGCAAGUAUAGGCUUGCAGGUAGAUGCUUAUCGCCACGGUAUUUCCAGCAGAAUCAAUCUUAAUAAAAACAAUAAUACCAAUUCAGAGAAUGGAAGCCUCGUAACGACUGCCACCUAAAAGAACAAGGAAUUCUCAACAGCAGUGAAGAGUGGGUACCAAAUCCAAGGUCAAGAACAUAGGCAAAGUUUUACUUAUAGAGUCACGCUGGAACAAAACUUAUUAUAAAGACCAAAAGAUUCUUUCCAUAAACCCAUGCAUCAUUAUCGUAAUGAUAACUUCCAAACCCCAAUUUAAGAAACGCCACAGUUAAAACAAGUAUACAGCUAACCCCAAAGCAUGAGCCCAAUCCUAUUCCCCCCAAUGGCAAUGAAUCUUUAUUCUCUAGAAGAGUUUCUUCACAAGGAGGAAAUUGAAUGGACCGACCCAUGGUAUAUCUAAUUUCAGAUCAUUAAUAUUUCCCAUGAUGGCCAGCCUUCUAGAUAAGGAAAAAUACCACAGUAGUAAGGUAGUUUCACUUGGUGACUUGGUGAUGAAAAUGAUGCUUUCCAUGAUCACACACUUUAAUCCAUCACUUCCUAUUGCAUUGAUAUUUCCUAGAUAAUAAUCAAAUUUAACAUAACAGAUUCACAACAGCUGGACUAUAAACAAAACCCAUGCAUCAUUUCAGUAAGCCUACUUUUUCAUUCCCUCAUCUUUACUUAAAAAAUUAGCUAUGUCCCUCCACAACAGUCACUUGAACUGCAUCCAAGCACAAUGCCUGACCAAAUACACCUCUAAGUUUGGCAAAAUAUAUGAAAUGUUGAAAUAGGGUUUCAGAACCAGUGAAAUGGCUCUGCUAGCCUUUAUAGAUACAUUUGAUGAGCGGCUCUUAAUCAUAGCUAAACCCACAUCCGAGUCGAGACAACACUACAGCCUCAAGUGCUUCAUUAUUUACCAUAGUCGCUUUUUGUUUCCCUACAAAGAUUCAUAUCACUUUGUGUGCAGUUGUGCCUGAAGUUGAGUGAACAAAAUUUGGCAGUUAGCUUUUAGGGCAGAAGAUGAAUAGAGGCAUUGAAAAACUAGGGAAGCCUCCAAACAAGCAAAAAUUAAUGAACUACAUGUGGAGAAUUCUGAGUGCAAGUUCUUUCCAGGGACUUCUCAUAGAAUAGUCCUGGUCAAACAGCCAAUUCCAUGUUAUGUAAGGCAUAAACAGAUCUUUGACUAUAAGAAUCCUACUGACCUAAUGGUUGAAUUAAUGAGCCCACUCGUACUCAACUGUUUGCUUCGUGACUAACUUUUAAGCUAUCAUCUGCUUGCAGAGGGUGCAAAUUUUAGCUUCUCAGGGGUUCUUCCAGCCCAGGGAAGGAAGGAAGAGAAGCACACAAAUUUAUAAGUAAAAGGAACCAAUAAGAAACCAAAAGAAUACAGCAGGUUUGACAAGACAUUUUGCUCACAUGCCAAAUUCCUCAGCAAAGAUAAAAUUAUCCAAGUAUCAUGUCAGACAAGCCAAGUCAAGUGAAAAGAUAGAGAAUGCCAAAUGAUGGAUGCUAGAUGGAUUUCCUACUAUAACUGUAAGCUGUUCAAAACGUUUCACAGCAUCAUAAAAAGUCAUUACAAUAUAUAUAAUUCCGUGGAAAUCCUGAGAAAAAGCAUUACCUCAAUUGUGACAUCAUGAUCUAACCUCUCACUUGGGGCAGGUGUGUAAUCCAUAGGUUGUCUCUGGUGAUGCGGAAUUAAUUCUGAGUCCCAGGAGACAAAGUAGAUAUCUCCGUCCAAAUCACUCCCUGAACACUCAUUUGGAUGAGGCCUAUUUCAUUCAAGAAUCGCAUUAUGCAUUAACAAGAGAAAUUGAGAAUCAUUAAAAGGACAGAUCAAUAUCAUAUUUUGCUUUCUACUUUUAUCUAUUGAAAGUGUGUUUGGGACAAUUUAAAGUAGAAGAAAGUCAACCCGAAUUACUCAAAUUAUGGGGAAGGAAUUUUUUGCCUCUACUUUUAGCUAGUAGAAUUAAAGGGUAAACCUAUCAGUGUUUAUCCAGAACUAGAACUAUCAGAAGCAUAGAACAACAGCAUAGUAGAGGAUGCUUCUUAGCAAAGUCGCAUCACAUGUAGACAGAAUCUACAUACAAGCCUUGGAUCGGUGAACUCAAACCUCAUACAAGAAAGAGACAAACCAGAAGCAGGAUCAACAAAAUUUCAAAUCUAGCCACCAAAUCCCACUGGAUAAAUAUUCUAGCAUUUAUUCUCAAAGCUUAAAGGUGAUAGAAAAGCAGGCCCAAAACUAUUUCUCAAGAAAAAAUGUCAAAAUUAUCCUUGGCUAUGUAAAAUGCGGAAAAAAUUAAAUUGGGUUGCACAUCAGUUCAUUUAUUUUAGACCUAGUACAAACAUAAUAUUAGAAAUUUUAGAUCUUAUUAUUAUAACUGAACCAAACCAAAACAAUAGCCAAUGAUCCACGACCAAAAGCAAAAACAAGUCCAAAAUGGAUCCAUGACAAGUGCCAGUGCAACUGAGGUAAUUGCAAGCCAAUAACAAGGCAUCUUAGAGUCAUACCUUUUUCCCUUCUGUGGAAAAACAACACAAUCCACCAUAUGAUGUAAAGCUGGCACAUCUAUAGCAGUUAGAACACGCACAUCACCUGGAUGUAAGCAAGGAUUCUUGGCAACAACUACUUUUCCCUGUACAACAAAGCUUUGAUCUGAGUCAGUACCAAUGAACACAAUUGACUCAUCCCACAUCUGUUGUUUUCUUCUACCGGAAUACUGCAGAAACACCUGGCCAUAUUCCAAACUUUGGGUUUCGUCAAGGCAUCCCAUCAUUGAUCUUCCUUCAGGAAGAAAUAUCCUCGUUUUUGUCCGCAAUUCAGACAAUUUUGUUGCUCUGAAUGUUCGCAGCAUCAUCGAUAGAAAAGGCUCAGCAUCAGGCUUAUAACCACACUUUAGCAUUUCUUUGAGAAUGUUACCAUUCUCCCCCGGGGACAUUAAAUCUAGAGCCUCUUGUGCUCGUAGGGGAUCAACUAAAAUGGCAUUUAGCUGAUCUACAGCAUUUUUUUGUUUUUUCUCGAACACGUGAUCUCGAACGCCAAGUGUUGAUAGAAGAGUGAUCAACUGGCGAUUAAGAAAGCAAGGCUGAUAUUUGCUCCAUCCCAAGACAUUUAGCUUUGUCUCAUCUGAUUCAUACUUUAACAUGCUCUUUCUGAGUGAUAGUUUAACACAUGACGUUGGAUCAACCGCUACAACACCUUUAUAUCCAGCAUAGCGAAUUUGAAACGCGGAAGGAGUAUAGCCCUUGAAGCCACAUUUUCUUGCAACUUUCCGAGCGAACUCUCCAGAUAUCUUCCCAAUUCCAUCAGAAAAGAUAUAAUUCAUAUCCUCAACAAGUGACUUGACUUCAAUAUCCGGAAUGAGUUCAACUUCAUCUUCACCUACAUUGAGAGUUUCGGUAGAUGAACUCAAGGAUUGGCCAAGUCUCGCGGCAUAUUUUGCCACAUUUCUUAUUGCACUGAAUUUACCCAUCUUUGCCCUAAUAGUUGCAGCAGUUGUACCAUCUGUUGGAGCAAACAUCCAAGCAGAAUUUUCGCGUAACUGACUGGAUGAGAAGGCAAGAAAUUCAAAAUGCUUAUCACCUAUUUUUAUGCCAUUCUUGAGAAUAGAAAGGAUCCUUUCAUAUAUAUCCGUUCUCCCAUGUCCCGAAGCAGUGCGAGGAGAUAAAUCAGUUGAAUACAUUUUAUCCAGGUCCUCAUCCACAAAAGAAAUACGGAUAAAAUUGUCAAUGUUCUCAGAAUAACUCCGCAAUACAUGAUUUGAGACAUUAAUUUCUGGACCAAAAAAAUACACCCUACAUGGUGUUAUUUGCACCCUAUGUACAUAAACCAAGCCAGCAUCUAACGAUAUUGAAGACAGUUUUGUAGAAUGCCGGGAGGUGAGAUAUUUCUUGUGUUGCUCAAUCAACCACUGUGAAGGCUCAUAACAACAUUCUUUCAAAUGGAACAGCUUGUCCAAGGCAUCUAGGAUUAUGUCCAUGUCCAUCCUCCGUGGAUCAACCAUUCGAUAAAAGGACAAAUCAAGAGAAGGUCCAGCUAGACAGCCAUUCUGAACUAACAAAUUUAUCUUAAAGAUGAUCUCAUAAGGCAAGUCAACUCCUCUGGGAGGGCCUACGAUUGGAACUAGAUCCGCACUGCAGGAGAAAGGCGAACCAUUUUCCAUAGAAAGUGUUCCAUCGGUUUCCUUAUAAUUGACAAAGUUCUCAUGAAAAUUUGGAAGUGGAUAUUCACAAGGAAUUUCUAAACAUACAGCAGAAGACUGUCCAAUGCAAGCUGAGGGAGUAAAAUCAAUCGCUCUCACCCACUGGUCAUCAGAGCCAUCUUUGAAAAAGUUGUAGAAAUGACUGACCAAAACAUCCUCUGAAUACUGAACAACUUUUUUACGAAUAUAGGGAGCCCCAUACAGCUAACAUCCACAAGAACAAAAUUUAUAGAAAUAUAUUAGGUCCUCUAUCAUAAGCAGCAUAUUAUGCAAAAAAGCAUGCGUGGUUGAAUGGGAAGUGCAAGCAUAAGAAAAUAGAUAAAGGACUGGGUUUCUUUUGUGUCAGUGAAAGUAAAGGUUUGGGGAGUGAAGCCAAAGCCCAGAAGCUGGCCCCUUAUAAAGGAAAAUUCAUGAUGGCCAUCAAUAUAUUUGCCUCCAUGGAAGAUUUGCCACUAUGCCAAAAGUGUAAAAUUCUAAACCUUUUAGGCUCUAAAACAUUCAAAAGUUCCAAAUUAGCCAGAAGCAAGAAUAUGAUCAGCAGAUAUGAACUCUUAUCUCUAUCACUGAAAGGAACUUGUGUACCCUGCUUAGCCUCCUACUUAACCAACCUUGCCAUGACCCAGAACCUCAUUAAAUUCAAUUAACAAUACAUGAAUCAAACAAGAGUCUUCAUCUAACAUUAACAUGUAGCCUAAGAAGAUUGGAAUUAUUUAACCUAAAAAAUCACACGAUUCCUAAAAUCAAGAAACAACAACCUCAUGAAAAAUUAUAAUCAUAAACCUCCAAGCCUUAUCCUUUAAGACUGUUUACAAAAUUCUAUCAUGUCUUGCUGUGAUACUGUGCCUUAGUGAGUUUUCAAAUACUGAGUUUCAGUUAGGAAAUUAUCAACCACGGAAAAUGGCAUUGAAGUCAUAACCUUUCAAUUGUUGCAAUCAAGUCUUCCUAGCCAUAACUCAAUUUGAGUUCUCUUGUCUAGCAGUUCUCUUGUCUGGCAGCCUGUCUCAAGCUACCGCGUCUGCAUUUCAGGAAGAACGUAAUUGGAUAAUUUUUCAAAAAGUCCAAAAUUUCACCGCACAUAUUUACAAGUGCAGAACUUGCUUCAUUGUAUACUCAAGUUUUACAACUUCUAAUACACCUUUCCCUAUCAAUCAAAUAGCAUGCAACCUAAGUACAAGGUAGCCCCUAACGUGAUCUCCAAUAGGUGUAUCACCAGUGGUCCCUGCAGAACUUGCUUCAUCCCUCUACUUUCUUUCUCCCAAUUCAUAUGCAUCCCUUUAUCUAAAAAGUUCCACAUUACUCCCUCUGUUAUGUGUUUCUCUUGUUUGCAUAAAUAAUCGAAUUACUAAGUUGGACGUCAAAGCACGCAUGCUGUCUUAUGAUUCACGGAAUUUUUUUAUGUGGUGCCAUAAAAAUUGAAAAAAAAAAAAAAAAAAACAAACAAACAAAAAAGAGAGAGACAGUGGCACGGACUCAUGGCCAUGGCCACUUGAUCCGGAGCAUGCAACCAUGGCGCUUGAGCUCGUGGCCUCCAUGGCCACUAGAUUUGGACUUCCCCAAACCUUGAGCUCACAGCCAUGGCCACCAGUUCUGGAGCUUGCCUUGGCCGCUCGAGCUGGAGCUUGAGCUCGAGCGUGGGGCUGCUAUGGCUACCAGAUCUGGAGCUCACCAAAACUUGAGCUCGCAGCCACCAUGGCUGCUCGUGCACAAGGUUUAUUUUUUCCAUAUCUGGGAUUUGAGGGGGGUAGUAGAUGGUGACCACUUAGUAAUCGGUGUGUCAGCAGAACAUGUCCUUGAUUCCAACUAAAUCCGUGUGCUUCCUACAAUGAAAGUUUCAACCAUAUCUUUCCUAAAGAGCCCUCUUCCACAAUCUCUCUCUUAAUUUACAAAGUUGUUUUUGUCUAAGUCUCCCUUCAACAUCCAAUUUUUAAGAAAUUCCUUGCAGAUUGUAGAUACUGGAGAACUCAUCCUUCACUCCCACAAACUCACUACCUUGACCCAUUGUCGCAACCUAGCUCAAUGACCCUUGGGUCCCAAGACGAGUGGCUGUAACAGAAUUUUCCUCGUCCAGCCAGAGCCAAUCAAUAAUGUUUGGAGUUCUGCCAGCCAUUUCUCUGUAAAGAUAAGGUCUUGGCAAGCUAUCUAUGUUCAUGAGACAUUUGAUCCAGGCAGAAAUACCAUGAAGGUUAAACAGGGACAAAAAACAAAAAAACAAAAAACAAAAAACAAAACAUCUUCUAAAUGAGUUACAUCAAGUCAUCAACUGGGAGCUUGAAUAACCCCAUUUAGUGAGCUAAAAAUCAAAUCCCAACACUAUGGGGAAGAAUGUAGUACGAAGAAUUUUAACAUUCAUUGGAAUUAGAAGAUCACACCCAAAACGAUGUCCAGUCAAAUAUAAAAACCAAAUAUGCAUUGUAGGAUAAAUCACAAUAUUAACACAAAAUAGUAAAUCAGUCUCUUGUAAUCCGAAUGAAGUCCAAUCACCUGAAUCACAAGAUACAUUGUUUUAUGGCCUCUUGCACGAUGUAGCUCGAUCUGCCAAAUAUUUUCAUAGGAUAACUCGAGCUUAUACUCCGUAUUGUGAUAAGAUAGAAGGAAGCAGAAUUUUCUCAUCCCAAGCCCAAAAUUUAGGGAGACGUUCACCCCUUUCCACAGAGUAGAGAACCUUUUACUUGAUACCUGACAGCCAAAAUGCAAAGUGAUACCUUCCAUUGAAUGCGAAAGGGUUCUUGGCCUUUGUACAAUAUCAUGCUCAACCCUGCGAGCAGUUAGAUAAGAUCGCCCAUACCACAAAUCUUUUCGACUAGCAAGUAAAAUAAUCGACUCUGCAUAAUCAGCAUUCAUAAAUUGGACAAUCGCAUAUGAUCGAACCCCACGUUUAUCUUGUCUAACUUUGAUGGCAUAAAUAGUACCUCUGCCAGUCCUUUGCUCCAGGCAUCCCCUGACUGUAUCUACAGUCACUAAUGAAGGGAAUCCGUGUACAUUUAUAGUCUUACCCAUUUAACUGAUACAAACUUUAUAGCACUCUGUUACACCAUAUCAAGGGCAUCACCAGGAAUGACAGAAGAAUGCCAGGCUAGGGCCUUUGAAAAGCACAUGGACCAUUCAACUCCAAGCAUGAAGUUUGCCGUACUGAAAGGGGAAAAAGUUAGACAGGAAACAUGAAAAUUUCUAUAAACUGAUUGUUGCCUCAAACUACCACAAAUCAUCAUAGCGAUUGAUCAUCAAAUGAACACUUGAUUUCUCCAUCUCGAGAAAACUAUUUACAAGCAUAAUGGGCUUCAAACAGCUUUGUUCACAGUAAGCACAGGAGUGACCAGCAUCAGAAAAACAUCAAAAAGGCCUACAAUUUUAGGCAACCUAUCAACAUAUGACAGUGAUGGACUUUAUUUCCAAUUAACAAAAAUGCCUUCCCGAAAACAUCUACAUGUUGAUAAUCAUGAAUUCUUCAAUGAAGCAAAAUAAGGAAUUCAAAAUAAGAAUAUCAUUGGGACAUUCACAGCACUUCGAGUCCUUCUUAAGCCGCAAGAGAAUAGUGUGAAACUGCAACCAACUCACUAUUGUGAAUCAUGUGCACUUUUAUCAUUCAGGCAAACCUCAUUCGGAGAGAAUAUCAUUGGGACAUUCACAGCACUUCGAGUCCUUCUUAACCCACAAGAGAAUAGUGUGAAACUAGCAGAACAACUCACUAUUGUGAAAUCAAGUGCACUUUUAUCAUUCAGGUGAACCUCAUUCGGAGAGAAUGAGUAUUGGAGGAGAAUUAUUGUUGAAGGGUACCUAGCACUUUAUAUCAGCUGCCAGCAGUUGUAGCAGAAUAACUCACUAUUGUGAAAUCAAGUGCACUUUUAUCAUUCAGGCAAACCUCAUUCGGAGAGAAUGAGUAUUGGAGGAGAAUUAUUGUUGAAGGGUACUUAGCACUUUACAUCAGCUGCCAGCAAUUGCAGCAGAACCAAAUCUGUAUCUUGGCACAUAUCAAAAUGACAGAGAGAAAUCACUCAUUCGCAACUAUUGUUUCUUCAAUCUCGGAUCCAUGCUGAUAAAAGUAUCCACGAAAACCCAAGAUGUGUUGAUCCCAACUAAACUUAAGUCAAAUUUCAAGCAGCAGAAGUUCUCAGGAUGCUGUCCAAACACAUUCGUGAAUGGAACAACAGGACGUAACUGAGCUUUCCAACGAACAAAUUGCUACAGAGGUGAAACAGAAGGAAUUCCUAAACCUUUCCCAAUGGUAUAUUGACAGGCAUACAAAAGAAAUAGAUAAUUCCGCUAGGAAUGUAAAGUACCAAGAUGAAUACCUCCCACAAGCCCAUAACACUAUGUCAAAUUGCAAUUAGAUUCUCCACGAUGCUUCUUGAAAAAUUCCUUCCGAGUCAAUGUUUAUAUUUUAUAGUUGAGAAAAGGUUGCAAUUCUAACAUUCACACUCUAGAACAUAAAACGAACGAGGAAGCAGAAAUUCCAUUUUGUAGCCACAUCUAAAUAUCAUCAGAGAAAAGAUUGCAAUUCUUCUCAAAUGUCCGGAGCUUUUCUUUUCCAAUCACUUAUAUUUAGACGGGGCUACAAAAAUUCUUUCGAAGAAGUUGCACACAAAAAACACACAUCAAACAGCAAAAAUGGGUAAAAGUCCCAUCUUGGCAACGACAGGGUCACAAUUCAGCAUUUCAGCGCAAGCAGCAAAACAGGACACAUGUCUGACACAAAGAGCGCGAAUGUAGCGCACCACACGCCACUUGAGCGGCAGAACCAAUCAACACAAUAGGAAGUAAACCAUCAGCAAGCGCACGCUUGCGUUUUUUCGUCUUUUCUUUUCCCCUAUACCCAAGCACCAUCUCACUCCUGAAGCAAAUUCCCACACAAUGUAGCCUCUCCGAACCAAACACACCCCCCCCCCCAUCCCCCCCCCCCGGGAAAAAAAAAAAAAACCGUGAGAUCCACACGUGAUCGCAAACGUUCUUCACACGCCGGAGUUCCCACUCUCGAAUAUAACGUCCCAGUACAGCCAAAAAAAAAAAAAAAACACGGCGAUCGUAAAAAAUCCAAACUUUACUGACAAGAAGGAGAAGAAGAAGAAACCCAGUUACCUCUGAGAGCUCGCCGAGCAGGGAAGCAAGAAGGGUCUGUCUCUGCGGCGACACAGAGUGUAGUAGAAAAGGAAAGUGCCCAGGAGAGAAGACGGAGCAGCGUCUCCUCCGCCGACGCCCACCCAGAGUCAACCCCUCAGUCAACAACACCACACUGCACUAAAAAGUCAAUCAAUCACUCUCUCUCUCUCUCUCUCACUCACUCACGCUCAGUCGCUCCUGCUCUUCUGCAUUUGAUAUAGGGGUGGGGGAAGAGAGAGAGAGAGAGAGAGAGAGUGGAAAAGGCGACAAUUCCGUCCUUCGCGGGCCACGCUGGCUGACGAAUGAGAACGUGAGGAUCCCUCUGCAUGAAGCGGAGCGAGUUCCUUGUCAAGGAAGGAAGGUGUGUGUUUCCUCGGACGGGACCCACGCGCGGACGAAGAGAAGAAUACUGCCGUACUGCCACGUUUCGACAGGUGACUGCUUCUCCCCCCUUUUUCAAUUUUUGUCUUUCCCUUUUCCACUCCGGAGACUUACUGAAGAAAUUCUAGCCCCCCCGAAUCAAUUGGCAAAUAAAAUAAUCCUGAUUCCAUAUCUUUCACAAAAAAGUAUAUGAUUUGAAGAAUAUUUUAUGAAAAAAAUUCCAUUGAUUAGUUAUUCCGAUCAGAAGAACAAGUGAUCAGUUUUAGAAAUGUAUUUUUCAAAUUAUUCGUCAUUCAUGAAAUAAAAUGAGGCUAAGCAUUAUUUUGAUAAUCCAUGAGAUUAAUUGGAUACUGGAAAAUGAUAUUAGAAGUGUCAUGAUUUUUGUACGGCGCUCGUUUUAGUGUCAAAACAUUUUGACCGACUAUUUAAAUGUAACGUUGGUGUGAAAUCGUGCACUUUACUAUCUAUUCUCGCUAAUCGUCCCUCGUGACUUUUCAAGUUAAUUUUUUGGAACGAUCGUGGCUUUUCAAAAGAAAAAUCUAAGUCUAAGGUGGACAAUCUUCAAUUAAAAUGACAAAGAAUGAUUCGUUUUGGCCUUUUUGUUACGCAAAUUCACUCGAAACCGAAACCCUAAAUUCUACAAAGGGAUUCCUCUUCCGAGAAGCUUAAGCAGUGGAGAGAUUCAAGAUGAGAUGAGCAGUGGAGAGGAUCGAGCUUACGAGAUGACAAAGUGGGGAUCGGUCGAAUCAACUUCGUCGAGGUCCAGAUGAUGACGGGACAACGUGACACAAGGAAUGGCGCUUGAUUUGAAUGAAUCGCAAAGAACUUGCAGGUUUUUUUGGGACAUGAAUCGCGGUGUGCCUCGCCGGAAUCCUGCAAAUCGCAGACGAAUCGAAGGUUACGGAGAUGGCACGUUGGGUGCAUUGGGGAAAAUCGCCGGCAUCUUCCUAGACAUUUCUGCAGCUCCUUCUCUCCAGUUAGAUUUUUUUUUUUUUCCACUUUUUAAGCUCGACUUGAACAUCUUCUACCAAAUUCUUUUGCCAAGUUCACACUGUUAUCUUGCAAAAAAUCCCUCCCCCGAAUCCGCUCAGUCCUUUUUCUUUUCAAUUCCAGAUUGUAGUGUGUAUUUUCUUCGUCAAUUGUGCACAAACUUUAAAUGACUAAGCUCCAUUGAAGAACCAUCAUCGCUCAACCAUUGGAGAGGAAGAGGGACAAAUGGAGCAACAAAUCUCUUCCCCUUUUUUUCUUUUUUCUUUUUUUUGGUUUUUAUUUAUAGUUUUACCGAUAAGGCCAAAACAACUUUGUUUUUUCUUCAUGAUUUUUUGCUGAUUGGAUUUUCUUUGGCAAGCCAAGUCAAUUGAUUUACAGCAAAUUAACGUCAUGUCGGAUUUUCGAAUCAUACAAAUCGAGGAUGACAAUGAAGUGAUUCCUUUUUCCCAAAGUGACACUCAAGUGAUCUCUUAAAAAUUUUUGAUAUUAAGAGUGAAGUUGUAUGAAAAUUAUGAUACUUGAAUACUAGUUAAUAGAAGUGUAUAUCGGUCUAAUCCAAUCCAAGAAUCGGAUUGGAUUGGAUCGAAUCGGCUAAUUCUAAAUGGUUUCUAUGAGAAUCAGUCUAAUUCCUAGUUCUAAAAAUAUGAAAUUGGGAAUAAUUGAUUCAAUUUUGGAAUCGAGAACUAAACUGGUGUUUGGUUCCUUGUGUGAAACUAGACCGAACCAAAACGUCACGCUAGAGGUGACCCUAAAUUAAAAUUAGAGCUCUUUCUCUCUCUUUUAGACCAAAGCUUCUCACCGCUCUGAGCUGCUCACCUCUCUUUCGUGCAACCACCACCAUGGUCUCGAGCAACCACCAUCACAGCGAAGCUCCUCGUGUGGAAACCAAGGGUGAGAAAGAUGAAAGAGGUUCGUCAACGGAGAAACCCUUGGAUGCUUGAUGCGACGAGAGAGAGUAGAGGGAAAGUAUAAAGAGAGAGAUGCGGCUGUUUUAAUAAUAAAAGGAAAAGGGACAUCCAUAAAAAUAUUUCCCUAGUAGCUUGUCAAUUCCUCUGUGCACACUUUCUUAGGUAAAUGUUGAUUUGGUCCCACGAGGACUUUAAAAAAAAAAAAAGAGUAGUAAGGUACCUGUCUUUUCAAUUCUUUCGCUAAAUUAAUGAUUUAUUUAAAAAGAUUAAAGUAAAUAUAGUUGCGAACGGCUAUAUUUUACUCAGUUACUUUCUUGAGCAAAAUCAAAAAUUAAAUCAAAUCAAAACCGAAAACCUUUUUCUCAAUUCCAGAACCACUUGGUUCGGUUCCUAAUUCUAACCUUCGGAAUUGGCAGGCACAAGAUUGAUUCUCGGUUCUAGGCUAUGGAUUGAUCAAUUGAGAACCAAAUCACCCAUAUUGAUUAAAAACUCAUGAUAAUAAAAAAUUUGCAUGUUGUGUUUUCAUAAUGAGUUGGAAGCUACUUAUCCUCCGUGGAAAGUGGUCAAAACUAAUGAAUUUUGCAAUUCAAAUGUCAUGUGAGAAGAAGAAAUUUUAAGAGAAAUUAACAAUGAAUGAUACCUAAUUUGCUUCGGGCUUCAGAACCUAAGCCAGCCACUAGGAGAUUUACUAUGAAUCCACAUUGUACAGAUUUAUCAAUCUUUCGAUUGGUCAAGUGUUUCCCAAGCACUAACCUCUUACAGAGAAUUCACUUAAAAAAAUUUCAGAAAAAAUCUUAUAACUUUUUUUGUUUGCUCUAGUAUGUUCACCAAUUUGAAUUCCAUCUACUGUAUAUACAUGAUGCUUGUAUCCAAAAAAAAAAAAAAAACUUUAGGAAACUUGUUGAAACUAUUCAAAUUAGGAAACCUACAUAAACUAAGAAACCUAUUUAGAUUGGGCUCAAAUUUAAGUCAUAUUCUUAACAUAAGCUUACUAAUGUAUGGAAAACUUACUAAUCACAUGACAAGUUAAUCAGCAACAUAUUGAUAUUUUUCGAAUGAAAAGCAGUGUUAAAGGUACUCAACAACUAUAAAAAAAAAAAAAAAAUUACUAGGAACUUAUGCAUAUUAACUCUUCAAGUACAUAAAGUCACCAAUUCCUAGGAGAAAUUAUCAAAAAAGUCCCAAACUUAUUACACAUGUGUCAAUUCAAUUUUAAACAUUUCAAAUUGAUCAAUUUAGUCUAAAAUCCGUUGUAGUUGCACUAAUUUAGUCGUAAACAUUUCAAUCAUUUUGCCAAAUGAAUCAUAAAUAUUUUGAUGAUUUAUUAAUUUAGUUAUAUAAGCUAACUCUAGCUAGAGAUUGCUAACGUGAUAGUUCAGUAAACGCUAGUUAUCCUAAGCAACAUGGUAGCACUGGCAUGGAUGAUAUAUCCAACUAAGUUUUAAUAGAUACCAAAAGUAUAUUUACUUUUAAUUAGCAACGCUUUCACCAUCACUACCAAUGUGAUUGAUAUCCACUAACUCUUCCAUAAGUGACUACAACGUAUUUAUUGCACAAGUAACUUAUACUAAUGGACCCAAAAAAAAAAAAAAAAACACAAAACACAAAAGCAAAAGUGAAAAGACAUCUCAAGAGUCGAGAUAUGCUCAUUUGAUGCAAUUUCGUCGGAGGGACAUGGUAAUAUUUCCUACUUGGGCCUCUAAGGGUACGUUUGUUUGUGUUUAUGUUCAAAAAUUGUUCUAGGAAACAGAAAUUAAAAAAAAAAAAACUAUUUCUGUUCCGGGGAAUAAUUUUUAACCAGAAAAACGUGUUUGGUAAACUUAUUUCGGAAAUAAAAAAAAGAACCGAAACACGUUUGGUAAAUUUAUGUUCUUUUUUUGUUUCUUUUAAUUUUUUAAUAUUUUUAUUUUAUUUUUCCUUUUUUUCUUUCUUUUUUUUUUCUUUUUUUCUUCUUUUGGCCAGUCGCAAGCCUCAGUCAUGGCCGUUGACCGGCCGACACUCGCCGUGGUUGGGCGAGGCUCAGCCUCACCUUGGGCUGGGCGAGCUAUGUUUUAAGACCUUGAUGCAAGGAUACCUAACACUCAAUAUAGUUUUCCAUGAUUGUAGCAUUAGUGGGCCUUUUCCACAUUACCUAGCGCAUAAAAGGUGUGAAAGGAUGGCCCAGCAUCAGACUAAUGAAACCAUCCGCUUUAGAAGUUCGGAUUGGUAGCCAAACGAGUGAUNNNNNNNNNNNNNNNNNNNNNNNNNNNNNNNNNNNNNNNNNNNNNNNNNNNNNNNNNNNNNNNNNNNNNNNNNNNNNNNNNNNNNNNNNNNNNNNNNNNNCUUAGGAAACAGUUGAAUAGGAUAGAAUCCAGCAUACAGAAUCCUACCCAACUCAUCACAUCACAAGUAGACACUUUCAAAAAACCCAUUUUUAAAGCUUUUGAAUUUCCAAAAAAUCUUAGCCCGGAGUUUGCUAAAGCCAUAGAACAAAAGAAAAAACUCCUAGGGAAAUCAAAGCUAGAGCAUGCUCCUAUUAUAGACAUUCUCGCGAUUUUAUUUAAGUUAUUUACUUUCUUGUUCUUAUACAUAAUUUCCUUUUAGAUACAUCCUUCCUUGUUUUCAUACAGAUCUGUUAGUCUCUUAUACUUCCUUGUUCUCUCAUAUAGUACUCCGAUCCUAGCUCCUUUAUGGUAUCAAAGCUAGUGGGAAGGUAUAGAUAGUCUUUGUAAGAACAUACUCAUAGAUCGAGAGCCAUUCGUUGGCAUCCUUCUUGUUUCUACAGAGUGGUCCAAGCCGUAAGUCCCUGAGUGGCUGUUAGACCGUUGGUUUAGCUCUGUAACGCUUCUGAAGAAGGAACAGUUCCGAUCUUAAGUAUGAGUUUACAUAGAAGAUCUACAUCUUCCUCUAGUUCUCUAUCACAAAUGGACUCAGAUCCCAGUCCUAUACAUAGAGAAGAAGUAAGGAUAGAAGAUUUCAACAAAUCUAUAGAGAAUUGGGAAAUUCCUAAAAUAUAGCUUAAAGAAAUAUACAAACAAUCAAAAUUAAAAUUUUUCAAAAAAUCAGACUAUGUCAUAUCCACCAAAGAAAGAGAUGUUCCUCUUUCUAAUUCCUAUGAGAAAAUACAUCUUUUAAACAAAGAGUCCAUCCAAAAGCAUAAACAAAAAUACAAUUACAUUCAUAUAGGACUAGUCCAAGUAGGAGUCAAACCUCUUACAAAAGAAGGUCUUAAUACCUCUAUUCUUCUAGUUUUACGAGAUUCACGUCUCUUAAACUAUGAUGAGUCCAUACUUGGUACUGUGGAGACAAGUCUCUGCAAAGGACCUAUACAUUUUGAUUGUUACCCUAAUUUCUCUGUUUCUCUCAAAGAUAAGAAUAUUCUUAGAGCCCUCACACUCCAAAUCAAAACCCAUAAUUACAAAGUGGCAGAUGGAUCUAUUCCUUUAGCCUUUGUCUAUAGAAUUCAUUAUAAAGCCAUGUCCUCCGCUUUUGGAGAAAAUGCUUUCAAACAUAGUCCACGGGGAGAAACACUUCUUCUCCAAACUGACAUUUCUAGAGCAAAUACAACAAUUCCUAGGUUUAUUAAUUGGAACCAAGUUACUUUACCAAAAAAAUGGGAAUUAGAAAACCAAAUUCCCCAACAAGUUGUUCAAAAUACAGAUCCGACUAAUGUCAUUCAACAUCCAGAAGGAAGAGUGACCAUUAGAUUUCCUCGAAGAUCUUUCGAUUCAAGAUCUAGUCAUUCUUUUCAUAAUUCUUAUACAAGGUCCAUAGAUCUUAAUCCUAAUCUUCCUCCUAUAAUCACCAUUCCUCCAAGUACUCAUAGAAACACCCCUCUCUAGUAUGCAUAGAGAUACUCCCACACACGAUACAACACCUUUACCUCCUUCCACCAGUAGAAUUAAUCAAGAGACACCUCUUGAACCAGAAAUUAGUGGUUUAGAUAAUAGAUCAUGGAUUUUUAGGCCAGUUUAUCAACAAAACCAGCGUGAACCAGUCCUAGAAAGUACAGAUUCCCCUCAUCAUUCUCCUACUUAUUCUCAAAUGAUAGAUACCGAGCUUAAUGUUUUAGAAAAACAUUUUGAACCAAACAAGGCUUUCCUUAAUAAAGAAUUUAAUUCUGAAAACAACAGACAAAUCAGAGAAUGGUUCUUCAAAACCUUUGCUGAUAAAGCAAAAGACAUUAAACAAAAAUAUUACGACUACAUAUAUGAAUAUGAAGUCCAUAUAUUUUUCUUUGAUUGGCUAGAAGAACAAUUCCUUGAACCAAAAGAAAUAAUUGUUUUAGAUCAUCAUUAUAAGUGGAAACUUGAUAAUGGUGAAACCAUAGAAUCCAAUCAUCCUCCUCUUAGGUGAAUAAAAAUACAACAUGGAGAAAGCGAGGUUACAGCUACCCCUUUUAGGCUUCCAGAUCAAGGACACUCUCUUUAUACUCACAAAGUCAUUGAACAAAACAAUUACACUAAUCAACAUUUGGCGACCAUAGGAAAACAGUUGAAUAGGAUAGAAUCCACCAUACAGAAUCCUACCCAACUCAUCACACCACAAGUAGACACUUUCAAAAAACCCAUUUUUAAAGCUUUUGAAUUUCCAAAAAAUCUUAGCCCAGAGUUUGCUAAAGCUAUAGAACAAAAGAAAAAACUCCUAGGGAAAUCAAAGCUAGAGCCUGCUCCUAUUAUAGACACCCCUAAAUUCCAGAAUCUUAUCAUUAAAGACACUCCUGACCAACCCACUAUCAGUACAUUGACCAAACAAUCUGGUGACUCUGAUAAUGAAUCAGUCGCUGAGAUUAAUUGACUCAAUUGGAGACAACCUCAGAAACUUUAUUAUAGCAGAGCUACCCCACCUGGCAUUGUCCAAGAAGAAUCAUCACAGAAAAUACAGAAUAAAUACUCUCCCGACGCCAUUUAUGAAUGGAAUAUAGAUGGUGUUGCCGAAAGCAAUAUCAUGAAUAUUUUAAAUAACAUGGUAAUGCUUGCCAAUGCCUACAAAACCCAGCAAGAUGUUUAUGAUCAUGCUGUUGCUAAUCUUUUAGUAGUCGGAUUUAUUGGACAACUAAAAGGUUGGUGGGAUAAUUAUUUGACUGAUGAACAAAGAAUACAAAUUUUAACUGCCUAUAAAAUCGAUGACUUUGGCCAACGCAUGGAUGAUGAUCAAGGACAUCUUAUCCAAGAUGCGGUCAAUACUCUUAUCUAUUCCAUUUCACAACACUUCAUAGGAGACCCUUCCCAUAUUAGAGAUAGGAACCAAGAUCUCUUAUCCAACAUGCGUUGCAAAUCCUUAGGGAGAUUUAGAGAAUACAAGGAACUCUUCUUUCAAAGGGUUCUUAUCAGACCUGAUUGCAAUCAACCCUUUUGGAAAGAAAAAUUCUUAACAGGUUUAUCUCAAAUUAUAGGUGACCAAGUUAGAAAUAGAAUUAGAGAAGAAUACAAUGGUCAAAUACCUUAUGAUAUUCUUUCUUAUGGAGAAAUAAUCUCUUAUGUUUACAGACAAUGAACCCAAAUGUGUAAUACUAUUAAAUUACAAAGACAACUUAAGGAAGAACAAUCUCUCACCAAUAGAAGUCUAGGAGAUUUUUGUGCUCAAUACGAUCCCUCUUAUAAUGAAAAAAUAAAACCAAAAUGUAAGGGAACUUGUCCUUUUGAGAAAGAAACAAAGAAAUAUCACAACAAACCUCCACCUCGUAGAAAUAAACAAAGACACCAGAAUAACCAAAAUAGACCUCAUACUGAUAGAAAAAAUUUCAAAGACAUUAAAUGUUAUUCUUGUGGUAAAAAAUGUCAUAUUUCAAAAUACUAUAGGAUUAAUAAAAAAUUAAAUGAACUCUCUCUUGAUGACAAUACUCUUAACCAGUUAAACAACAUCUUCAUAGAAAAUGGUGAUACUUCUUCUGAUGAAUUUCUUGAGGAAGAAGGUCUUCAGAUCAAUGAAAUAGAUUCCUCUUUUGACUCUGAUUAUGAAGAUGCCUCUCCUGAAAAACAUGUUCCUGAAAUAAACAUGUUAACAAAAGAAGAAGAAUUUCUCCUUAGCACUGCUGAUAAGAUCACUGACCCAGAAGCCAAGAAAGAAUACUUAGAUAGAUUACAUUAUUCCUUAAAUAUUACCUCCAAACCCAAUACUUCCUACAAUUUAAAAGACAUUUUAAAUAGAAACAAAAAACCCCAGUCCAGCCCGUUAAUAUAAAUGACCUUCAAAAUGAAAUAAAACAACAAAAGUUAGAAAUUCAAGCCCUGAAAGCAACACAGUUAGAUAUAAAAAAAGAGAUUUCUGACAUAAAAUCUCUUGUCAUAACAAGAAAAACAAAAUUAGAAAACCAAAACGAAAUCACCAAUACAUCAGACAAUCCGGACCCAGCCUUCCUUAUGUUAUUAACAGAAAUAACAUCUAGAAAAUGGUUAAUAAAUAUUAUGAUAAAAAUCAACAAUGAGUUUAUUAUUGAAACAACAGCACUCUUUGAUACAGGAGCUGAUCUCAAUUGUAUCAAAGAAUGCCUUGUUCCAACAAUAUACUUUGAUAAAACUUCCGAAUCCUUAAAAUCAGCCUCAGGUGAUAACCUUAACAUCCAAUACAAAUUACCAAAAGCCUUAGUAAUAAAAGAUCAAAUGUCUUACAAAACAUCUUUUCUUUUAGUAAAAAAUAUGAGGCAACAAAUAAUUCUUGGAACACCUUUCAUACAAUUAAUACAACAUUUUACAGUUACUAAUGAAGGUAUUGAAACCCAUGCUCUAAAUAGAAAAAUCACCUUCAACUUUAUAACAAAACCACAGAAGAGAAGUCUAAAUAUUUUACAAGAACAUUCUAUUUCAGAAAUUAAUUGCCUUAUAAAAGACAAAGAAAAUCAGCUUGAAUUCCUAAAAAAAGAUUUAGAAUUCAAAAGAAUAGAAGAAAAUCUUAUAAAACCAAACAUCAUAGAAAAGAUAGCUUCCCUACAAAAACACAUAGAAAAGACUAUAUGCUCUACUCUACCCAAUGCCUUUUGGGAAAUAAAGAAGCAUAUCGUUGAUUUACCUUAUGAACAUGAUUUUUCUGAAAACAAAAUACCUACCAAAGCCAGCCCAACACAGAUGAAUCAAGAAGUUUUGAAAUUCUGUCAAGAAGAAAUACAAGAUCCCUUGAAUAAAAAACUCAUAAGAAAUAGCCAAUCACCUUGGAGUUGUUCUGCUUUUUAUGUCAAUAAAAAUGCUGAACUUGAAAGAGGAGUUCCCAGGUUAGUUAUUAAUUAUAAACCUCUUAAUACAACCCUUAGGUGGAUAAGAUAUCAUAUACCCAAUAAAAAAGAUUUGUUAAACAGACUUUGUAGAUUAAAAAUAUUUUCAAAAUUUGAUAUGAAGUCAGGAUUUUGGCAAAUACAGGUCAGUGAAAAGAAUAAAUACAAGACAGCCUUCACAGUCCCUUUUGGCCAAUAUGAAUGGAAUGUUAUGACAUUCGGUCUCAAAAAUGCCCCUUCAGAAUUCCAAAGGAUUAUGAAUGAGAUUUUCAAUCCUUAUUCAGAGUAUAUCAUAAUUUAUAUAGAUGAUGUUCUAGUAUUCUCUUCCAAUAUAGAACAUCAUUUCAAACAUUUAUCUACAUUCAUAAAAAUAAUCAUACAAAACGGUCUUGUAGUCUCUCCUACUAAAAUUGCACUCUUCAAAACCAAGAUUAGGUUCUUAGAUUAUUACAUUCAUUUAAGCACCAUCACUCCCAUAGAAAGAUCAAUCUCUUUUACUGAUAAAUUCCCUGAUGAAAUCAAAGACAAAACUCAAUUACAAAGGUUUUUGGGUAGUCUCAAUUAUAUUCUAGAUUUCUUUCCCAAUAUAAAUAUCAUUUGUAAACCUUUACAUCAAAGGUUAAGAAAGGAUCCUCCACUCUGGACUUCUGUCCAUACAGACAUUGUCAAACAAAUAAAAAUACAUGUGAAAGAUAUACCAUGCUUACAUCUAGCUGACGCUUCCACUUUCAAAAUAGUUGAAACAGAUGCAUCAGAAUUAGGAUAUGGUGGCAUUCUCAAACAAGUCAAAAACAACAAAGAGCAAGUUGUUCAGUUUAUAUCAAAACAUUGGAAUUUCACUCAACAAAAUUAUUCGGCAAUCAAAAAAGAAAUACUUGCUAUAGUUUUGUUUAUAUCAAAAUUCCAAGGAGAUUUAUUAAAUCAAAAAUUUCUCUUAUGAAUUGAUUGCAAAUCAGCCAAAGACAUUUUACAAAAAGAUGUUUUAAACAUUGCAUCAAAACAGAUUUUUGCCAGAUGGCAAGCCAUACUUUCAGUAUUCGAUUUUGACAUUGAAUUUAUAAAUGGUUCUUCAAAUUCAUUGCAUGAUUUUCUCACAAGAGAAUUUUUACAGGAAAUACCAAUAUGCCAAGAUCCAAAAAAGACAAAGACAAAGACAAAGGCAAAACCACUACCGAACCCUCCAAUACACCACCAAAGCUGAAAGGCUUAACAUCUGUCAAAACAUGGCUUGAAAUGACAGAAGACAACCAGUCAUUCUUACGCCAAACACCUGUGAAAAUAGAACAUAUAUCAUUUGAUCCCACGCUAGCCUUUAAACAACUAGCCGAUAUGAUACCAAAAGAAACAAUUCUGUUACUUGCCCAGUCCUUACAAAACACAGCAAAAAAGGAGACAUCCAGUGCUAUCGAGGUAAGCAACAAUCCUUCCCCACUUGCUACACAAAAGCAAGCAGAAUACAAAAGAACUUCGAAUGAGGUGGUUAUUAGGCUACAGGCAACCCCUCAAUCUCAAAAAUCAAAAUUUUUCCCCAAAACAUCAUUUCAGAAAAUAUUAACUAUGGAAGAUGGAUUCUUUGACAAAGAUCCAAUCUUAUUUGCCAAAAACAUUUUCCCAAAAAACUGGUUAUUUAAACCACACAAUACAAAUAAAACCCUUGCUUAUUACAAGCAAAUUUUAAUGGAAACAGAAUCAGCAAGGUUUACCCACUUUGCUGACAAAAACAAUACAGAAAACAUUAUGUACUCUACUAUUUCCAUUAGUAAAGUCAUACACCCCCUUACAUUGGGGAACUUCACCUCAUACACCCAAAAAAUUCCAAACCAGGCUUACCCAAAACCUACCAUACUCCUCCUCAUAUACAUACUGGGACUACCAACAAGCUUGGUGGAACGUUUUCUUCAGACAAAAUACAAAUUUCCAACACACCUGGUUGUUAUUCUUUAAAGAUAACUUCCCAAGACAAAGCCUACCAAACUGGUUUGACUCUUGGUGGGAUCUCUUUGGUCAUUUGGACAUAAUACUACAUCCCACAGUCAAACAAGGUUACAAGGUUUUCAGUGAAUACUUCGUACCAACACCGCAUGAUAUAAGGUUCCCAUGCAUUAUGCAUGGGGAUUUGAAUACAAUACAUCCACAAAACCUAGUGUACCAGUAUUUGUCUGUAAAUACAAAACAAAAUGGUGGGAUGGAUUCAAUAGACUUGAACAAGGAUCCGAAGCUGCGGUUAAAACAUGGUUAAACAGCCAGAAAACUCAAAUAAUCACAGCCCCAUCAAAUACAUCGUUCUUACAAGAGAAAUCUAUGGCAAGUGCAUCACUUGCCGCAGUCCAAAACAGAGAGGAAUACUGCAACAUCCUCAGGACAAUGCUCUUAGAAGCGGAAGAAUCACAAUGUGGAUCUUCCAAAUCUCAAAACAGUCAAGACGAAUCCUCCCAGUCACAUCACAGUGGAGACACUAAUGAAGACGACUACUACAGGAUCAAUCUGGACAGAGAUUAAAAUCAAAGACAUCACAUGCAGACACUAUUACAAGCGGUGCAAAGGCUAUACAUUAUAGCAUAAUAGAGAUACAAUGUUCAUACAAUGUUCACUUUACACUGUUCACUCAGUACUGUUCACUUUACACUGUUCAGUACUGUAGCACUUUCACUGUAAUCCUCACUAUAAAUACACCCUCUCGACACAAGGAAAGAGGACCGAAAUUUUCUAGAUUUCUCUCUUCUUUCUCUCUCUCUCUCUCUCUCACUUGUAAACCAUCAUCCCUUCCAUCUCCAUCCUCAUCUCUUCCAUCUCCAAGCUCUCUUACCUUGUAUCCCCUGGUUUCAAAGUAAGUUAGUUUUUCAUAUACAUAGUUUUAUACAAGGUUACCAACUUACAUGAUAGUUGGUUAACCAUUUCUUGUAAUACAAACAUAAAUAUUCCCUGGAGUGCGGAUUACCGCCCUAGUGGAUGACUUGAUGCUUUAGUUUCUGCAUCCUUCAAUACAUGUAAUUUCAGCUUUUCAGCUUUAUAAUACAAGUUCAUACCACCUUCAUGGUUGGUUUUUGUUUAUGCAUACUUUUACUUUAUAUUCUAUAUAUUGCCUUUGCUCUUUACAUUAUUUUUAAUUCUCGCAAUUUUAUUUAAGUUAUUUACUUUCUUGUUCUUAUACAUCAUUUCCUUUUAGAUACAUCCUUCUUUGUUUUCAUACAGAUCUGUUAGUCUCUUAUACUUCCUUGUUCUCUAAUAUAGUACUCCGAUCCUAACCCCUUUAUUCUUUAUUCAUCAGUCAAAUAAUUAUCCCACUAACCUUUUAGUUGUCCAGUAAAUCUGGCUACUAAGGGGGUGCAUGACAACCCAAAAUUUCUGUUACAGAAAUAGUUUUUUUAUUCCAGACCUGUUUCUGGAAGAGAAAUCCGUUUGAUAAACCUAUUCAGUUUUUCUAUUUCUUGAAUAGAUUUCUCUUCCAGAAAUAGGUUUGGAAGAGAAAUCAAAAGCUAAAAUUUUAUACUUCUGAUUUCUAGAAGAGAAAUCAGAAAUAAUUUCUCUCACUAAACCCUAAUUUUGGUAAGUCCUCCCUCAUCUCCUCUACGUCUCUGCCUCCUCCUCCUCCUUCGUCUCUUCUCAUUUUAUUAAAAAUAAAAAUAAAAAUAUUAAAAUAAAUAAAUUAUUUUUAUUUAUUUUAAUAUAUUUAUUUUUAUUUUUAAAUGAAUAAAAUGAAUAUAUAUAUUUUUUAUUUUAUUUUAUUUUAUUUUAUUCAUUAUUUUUUUUGUUACUAAAUCAUUUUUAUUUUUAUUUUUUAUAUUAAAGGUCGUCGGUCGUCGUCGCCAUCGUCCGAAAGGAAAAAAUUUUGUGUCGUUAUCAAACGGUUAUUUUUGCUUAAAAACUCUUCUAGAAAUAGAAAUAGAAAAAUCUAUUUCUGUUUCAGAAACUAUUUCUGGAACAAAAUGGUUGUCAUGCGCCCCCUAAAAGAUUAGCAACAGCAUGAUCAGAAACAUCUUGCUGGGUUUUGUAGGCAUUGGCAAGCAUUACCAUAUUAUUUAAAAUAUUCAUGAUAUUGUUUUCGGCAACACCAUCUAUAUUUUUGUUUCUAUUUAAAAUGUCUUUUAAAUUGUAGGAAGUAUUGGGUUUGGAGGUAAUAUUUAAGGAAGAAUGUAAUCUAUCUAAGUAUUCUUUCUUGGCUUCUGGGUCAGUGAUCUUAUCAACAGUGCUAAGGAGAAAUUCUUCUUCUUUUGUUAACAUGUUUAUUUCAGAAACAGGUUUUUCAGGAGAGGCGUCUUCAUAAUCAAAGUCAGAAGAGGAAUAUAUUUCAUUGAUCUGAAGACCUUCUUCCUCAAGAAAUUCAUCAGAAGAAGUAUCACCAUUUUUCUAUGAAGAUGUUGUUUAACUGGUUAAGAAUAUUGUCAUUAAAAGAGAGUUCAUUUAUUUUUUUAUUAAUCCUACAGUAUUUUGAAAUAUGACAUUUUUUACCACAAGAAUAACAUUUAAUGUCUUUGGUGGUGUAUUGGAGGGUUCGGCAAUGCAUAUAUAUAUAUAUAUAUAUAUAUAUAUAUGUAUGUAUGUAUGUAUGUAUGUAUGUAUGUAUGUAUGUAUGUAUCAAAUUAUCUUUAUCUCAAUACAUGAGUUUUACAAAAUCAAAGAAAAUAUUAGUAUUAUAACAUCGUUGUCUACAAUCAAACAAUAAAAGGUACUUAUAUUGGCAAACUUGCGGCUUAAGCGCUACAUUGUACUUAUAUUGGCAAACUUGCGGCUUAAGCGUUACAUUGUACUUAUAUUGGCAAACUUGCGGCUUAAGCGUUACAUUGCAUAGUCAUAUCGACGAAAUCCCCUUUUUCUCUCCCCUUUUCUCUCUCUCUGUUCUAUCUCUCCCCCGGGAGCUCUCGGCCCCUUUUAAAACCGAGCGUGACCUGUCCCACCAGUCUUAUGAGGUCAACCUUGGCCGGCUGGCCGGGCGUGACAAAGAGCGUGUCCUAUUUUUGCUUUCCUUCUACUUUUUUUUUUUUUGGUUUGGAAUAUGCUUAGUUAACCGUACCCUCAUAUGAUUAAUCGCCAGCCACAUAUUUUGGAAGAGAGGGAGAGAAUUGUGUCUUGCUUGGAUGCUUGAGUUCUUUUAUGGAGUCCACAAAAUGUGUGGCUGGGGAUUCACCUUCCAUUUUCCAAGCUAAGGGUACGCUUAACCAAGUAUAUUUCUUUUUUGGUGGCUCGCACCGCUUUGAAAAGUCGAAUAUUACGAAGCAACCUUGAAUAGCCGGACAUGAGAUAAAGAAAUGUUGACAAGCUGUGCCAACAGUCGGAGAAUAUAUAAUGGUAAAGGCUUUAGAUGAAACGCACACAAAGAAGAGGACUUAACCAGAGCACUAGCUCAUAAAACUUAACUAGCAGAGAAAGAGAGAGAGAGAGAGAGAGAGAGAGAGAGAGGAGCAGCAGCGGCACGGAGGAGGUGGCGGUUAUGGAAUCGUACCCGAUGAACGGUGGGGAUGGCACGUUCAGCUACAACAAGAACUCUUACUUGCAGGUUCUUCAUUUGAUGUUAAGUAGAUGCACUUCCAAGCAACCAUUUCUUAAAUUUCAUGGAAUAAGAGCUAAAUGAUAGAAUUAAUUGGUCUAUCUUUCGCUAAGCUUUGCCUGAAUUCAGCUUCUGAAACUACUCUCUGGUUGUUCAUCUCUUGUGACCCCUUAUGGUUUCAACUAGACAAGUUUUUAAUCAUCAAAGUCGAACUUGCUACUCUGACACGUAUUGCAGAGAGCGUCAACCAACGUCUCCCGGGCGACAAUCGACAAGGUGAUCGCAGAGAAGCUCGACAUAAAGCAAUUUUCUCCUGCUCUGACCACAUUCCAGAUCGCGGAUUUAGGCUGUUCGAUCGGGCCAAACACCUUUCUUGCGGUCCAAAACAUCAUAGAGGCAGUCCGACGCAAGUACGAAUCACAAGGCCUCUCCUCCCAAUUGCCUGAUUUCCAAGUCCUGUUCAACGACCACGCGUCCAAUGAUUUCAACACCCUCUUCACUUCCCUGCCAUCUGACCGGCCGUACUACGCGGCUGGUGUGCCAGGAUCCUUUCAUGGGCGACUGUUCCCCAAGGCGUCCCUCCAUUUCGUGCAUUCGUCUUAUGCGCUUCAAUGGCUUUCCAAGGUGCCUAAAGAAUUGGUUGAUCCAAAUUCCCCAGCAUUUAACAGGGGGAGAGUUCACUACACAAGUGCUCCACGCGAAGUGAGCGAUGCUUAUACAUCUCAGUAUGCACAGGACAUGGUGAAAUUUCUGCACGCUAGAGGUGAGGAAAUUGCGAGUGGAGGCAUCAUGGUUCUAGUCAUGCCCGGGAUUGCUAAUGGCAUUCCUUAUUCACGUAUGCCAUCAGGCGUGAUGUUCGACCUUUUGGGAUUCAGCUUGAUGGAUAUGGCAAAGGAGGUAAAAACUGGAAACGUUGUCAGCAAAAUUUUCUUUCUUACCAAAAAUAGUUAUAUAUGUGCGCAAGUGUAUAUCAGCAUAGUUCACUUACAGGUCUCACAAAUUUAAAUUUAGCGAAAAUAUAGAUAAUCCAUAGUUCAUGUCUCAUUUGUGCAUGUCUUAAUGUGUUUAUCAUAUGCAUGUGGACCCUUUAACGGAUUUCUUAAGGCUUUCAUUCCAUCGUUAGUUCACUUAUAUUCAAAGCAAUCCCAUUGAGUUGCACAGAUGACUUGAUGAAAGUAACUCUCUACAGGGUAUAAUAAGUGAGGCUCAGGUAGAUUCAUUUAAUUUGCCUGUGUACGCUCCCUCUCCUGACGAGUUGACGGCACUAGUAGAGAGCAAUGGGUGUUUUAGCAUAGAGAGGAUGGAUUUAGCAGCUAUUGGAUCGAAGAUCGAUGACUCGUUCGGAGGGCAUGCUUGCAUGCUGCACUUAAGAGCUGGAAUGGAAGGCAUCAUCAGCAAACAUUUUGGAAGUGAGAUAAUUGACGACCUGUUUGAUCGUUAUCUCGGGAAAACCAAUGAAUUUUCCGACCGUUUAAACUCUUCAGUACGUCAAGGAAGCCAACUGGUAGCAAUACUGAAGCGCAAAUAAUGCGCACCUGGGAGUGGGGUCCGCACUUUUUUCAAAUAAAGUUCUAGAUAUCUACUUUCCUCUUCGAAUUCAUAUGUCCCAUAUAAGGCACUCGAAAUCUGAAUACGGUGAGGAUAUUUAGCAUUUGUCCUGGUAUGAUCUUUACAGUACUUGUAUUGCAAUUUUUGAUGAAGUAUCAAUGUAUUGAACUUUUUGGUACUCUGAGGCUUCGUUAAGCAAGAAGUCAUCACCUCCGCAAUGAUGUGCACCAAGAAGGUGCUUCAUCAAGAAAUAAAGUUAAGCAGCAUUACGAUGCUUGUCCUCAUACAUGGAAUAGCUUUGGCACAUAAUUCUAAUUUUUUGAUUCUAUAAGUAAUUUAAAUAUUUGAAAUUUGAUGUGUUGGGCUUCCUUUUCUACUGAGCUGGACUGCAUAACUUCUUUCAAUUUAUCCCACGAGAAAACAAGAAAGAAACUAGGCAGAUUGUCUCGUGAGACCUAGAAUCGAGCGUGUAAAUAAUUGCUUCAAUGGAAGCUGAUUUCCAGACUGCAGAUUUUGGUGCAGUGAGAUAAUGAGUCGCAAAUUUUUCUGCUCCUACUUUUUAAGAUAAUAUUGUACUUUUGGCAUCAAUAUGAUCUUUAAAUUGCUCGUAAGAAAAUCUUGUUAAUCUCCUUUGUGCUGAGGAAUGUUCCAUCCCCAUGAUAACAGCUGCCGCAAAUUUUUCCCCAUCAGCCAUGGCAAGAGCAUGAUCUAUUCUCAAAUUCCAUGACAAACCAAAUCUGAUGCAGCGUCAUCUGGCCUAGAGCCAUUAUCUGAGAUUACAGAAAUGUUAUUAUGUUCAAACCCACCAGCAUUAGGAAUCCGAGGAACCUGUGGCAUGGAAGAAUAACUAUCAUACACAGAAAUUUAUGGGGUAUGCAAAGUUUAUCGCGAUACGGAAAUUCCAAUUCAGAAAGACUAUAGACAGUGAACAGCCGUUUGACAUUACCAUUAUGUACAAAAAGAUGUAAUGCACACACAAAUAGCAGUCAGAAUGUUAUUUAAGCUUCGCUACACAAACAGCAGGAAUUUAGGAGUACCGUUGCCUACACAUUUGCAGAAGACCCAAAUACAACAACUUCGGUUUCUUCAACUGAGAAAAUAUCCAAGUUGGAUUUCUCAAUUCAGACGCAAUCGGGUGAAGUAGUCUUCAAGAGUGGACUUACGAGCACUCAUCCUACCUCGUUUUUCCUUCUUAAUUUGGAUUAGUUUAUCAUAUACACACCAAGGAAAGCUAAGAUAAUGAUCUCGUUUUAAACCCUCGUUGUAGCAACCCCAAUACUCCGGAUGAUACGUGACAUGAUACCACGCAGAUGCUUUUGCAUAUUCAUCAACGGGCUCAGAAUACGAACCACUUCCCUUAUCAUUAAACCAGGUCCGANNNNNNNNNNNNNNNNNNNNNNNNNNNNNNNNNNNNNNNNNNNNNNNNNNNNNNNNNNNNNNNNNNNNNNNNNNNNNNNNNNNNNNNNNNNNNNNNNNNNNNNGCCUCUGUGUCAUCCCAUAAUACUCCAUCAGAUUCCCCAGCUUGUAAUCAUAAUUACCCUUGUGAUAGAAAGCGUCAUCGACAUAUUCCUCAAAUCCGUCCACUUCCAUCUCUGGGUCAUAAGAUUGCCUCGCCAUUUCCAGCGUGAACUUCCGAAUAGAGCUUGAUGCAUAUGCUUCCUCUUUGACUUCCCGGAAAAGCUUUCCGAUCACGUUGUUGGAUGGGUAGCUGGACUUGUCAAGCUUCUCCAUGAAGUCUGGGUAUUCCUUGACAUACAGAUUAGGAGGUAUCACAGCAGGUACACCAGUUUUUGGGAAGUCAACCGCAAUAGAGAAAAGUCUGGCAAGGUCUAAACAUUCAGGGCACAUGGCCUUUUCAGGCUGACUAUCUGCAAAGACGGUGUGGGCAUUGGCAAUAAUUCCAAGGCUGUCAUUAAGUAUGUAAUUUACAAAGUACUCCUCCACUUCCUGUUUAAGCAACAAAAUCACAAAAGGGUUUUAAUUACCCACAUAUCCAUAGAGCAUUACAAGAGAAAUCAAGCGGCAAAUUUCCAAAUGCAACUCAUUGAUUUCGGCAAAUUGAUCAUCAAUAACCCUUCAAAAAUAAAGUGUGCUCAGAUAUACAUCUUCUCUUAAGAGUUCAAGGUAUAUAUGUGCUGGCCACUUCCAAUUUCAAUGUUCCCAAUGAUUCAAAAUAAUCCGUUCAUUUCAUUAUCAAGAAAAGGAAAUGUUCUGUAAUGCAAAAGAAUAAUGCAUAAACCAAUCUUAGUAGAUGUAUAUGCAUGGGCAAGUAUAGGCUUGCAGGUAGAUGCUUAUCCCCACGGUAUUUCCAGCAGAAUCAAUCUUAAUAAAAACAAUAAUACCAAUUCAGAGAAUGGAAGCCUCGUAACGACUGCCGCCUAAAAGAACAAGGAAUUCUCAACAGCAGUGAAGAGUGGGUACCAAAUCCAAGGUCAAGAACAUAGGCAAAGUUUUACUUAUAGAGUCACGCUGGAACAAAACUUAUUAUAAAGACCAAAAGAUUCUUUCCAGAAACCCAUGCAUCAUUAUCGUAAUGAUAACUUCCAAACCCCAAUUUAAGAAACGCAACAGUUAAAACAAGUAUACAGCUAACCCCAAAGCAUGAGCCCAAUCCUAUUCCCCCCAAUGGCAAGGAUGAGUUAUCAUAUAUGAAUCUUUAUUCUCUAGAAGAGUUUCUUCACAAGGAGGAAAUUGAAUGGACCGACCCAUGGUAUAUCUAAUUUCAGAUCAUUAAUAUUUCCCAUGAUGGCCAGCCUUCUAGAUAAGGAAAAAUACCACAGUAGUAAGGUAGUUUCACUUGGUGAUGAAAAUGAUGCUUUCCAUGAUCACACACUUUAAUUUAUCACUUCCUAUUGCCUUGAUAUUUCCUAGAUAAUAAUCAAAUUUAACAUAACAGAUUCACAACAGCUGGAAUAUAAACAAAACCCAUGCAUCAUUUCAGUAAGCCUACUUUUUCAUUCCCUCAUCUUUACUUAAAAAAUUAGCUAUGUCCCUCCACAACAGUCCCUUGAACUGCAUCCAAGCACAAUGCCUGACCAAAUACACCUCUAAGUUUGGCAAAAUAUAUGAAAUGUUGAAAUAGGGUUUCAGAACCAGUGAAAUGGCUCUGCUAGCCUUUAUAGAUACAUUUGAUGAGCGGCUCUUAAUCAUAGCUAAACCCACAUCCGAGUCGAGACAACACUACAGCCUCAAGUGCAUCAUUUUUUACCAUAAUCGCUUUUUGUUUCCCUACAAAGAUUCAUAUCACUUUGUGUGCAGUUGUGCCUGAAGUUGAGUGAGCAAAAUUUGGCAGUUAGCUUUUAGGGCAGAAGAUGAAUAGAGGCAUUGAAAAACUAGGGAAGCCUCCAAACAAGCAAAAAUUAAUGAACUACAUGUGGAGAAUUCUGAGUGCAAGUUCUUUCCAGGGACUUCUCAUAGAAUAGUCCUGGUCAAACAGCCAAUUCCAUGUUAUGUAAGGCAUAAACAGAUCUUUGACUAUAAGAAUCCUAUUGACCUAAUGGUUGAAUUAAUGAGCCCACUCAUACUCAACUGUUUGCUUCGUGACUAAUUUUGAAGCUAUCAUCUGCUUGCAGAGGGUGCAAAUUUUAGCUUCUCAGGGGUUCUUCCAGCCCAGGGAAGGAAGGAAGAGAAGCACACAAAUUUAUAAGUAAAAGGAACCAAUAAGAAACCAAAAGAAUACAGCAGGUUUGACAAGACAUUUUGCUCACAUGCCAAAUUCCUCAGCAAAGAUAAAAUUAUCCAAGUAUCAUGUCAGACAAGCCAAGUCAAGUGAAAAGAUAGAGAAUGCCAAAUGAUGGAUGCUAGAUGGAUUUCCUACUAUAACUGUAAGCUGUUCAAAACGUUUCACAGCAUCAUAAAAAGUCAUUACAAUAUAUAUAAUUCCGUGGAAAUCCUGAGAAAAAGCAUUACCUCAAUUGUGACAUCAUGAUCUAACCUCUCACUUGGGGCAGGUGUGUAAUCCAUAGGUUGUCUCUGGUGAUGCGGAAUUAAUUCUGAGUCCCAGGAGACAAAGUAGAUAUCUCCGUCCAAAUCACUCCCUGAACACUCAUUUGGAUGAGGCCUAUUUCAUUCAAGAAUCGCAUUAUGCAUUAACAAGAGAAAUUGAUAUCAUAUUUUGCUUUCUACUUUUAUCUAUUAAAAGUGUGUUUGGGACAAUUUAAAGUAGAAGAAAGUCAACCCGAAUUACUGAAAUUAUGGGGAAGGAAUUUUUCGCCUAUACUUUUAGCUAGUAGAAUUAAAGGGUAAACCUAUCAGUGUUUAUCCAGAACUAGAACUAUCAGAAGCAUAGAACAACAGCAUAGUAGAGGAUGCUUCUUAGCAAAGUCGCAUCACAUGUAGACAGAAUCUACAUACAAGCCUUGGACCGGUGAACUCAAACCUCAUACAAGAAAGAGACAAACCAGAAGCAGGAUCAACAAAAUUUCAAAUCUAGCCACCAAAUCCCACUGGAUAAAUAUUCUAGCAUUUAUUCUCAAAGCUUAAAGGUGAUAGAAAAGCAGGCCCAAAACUAUUUCUAAAGAAAAAAUGUCAAAAUUAUCCUUGGCUAUGUAAAAUGCGGAAAAAAUUAAAUUGGGUUGCACAUCAGUUCAUUUAUUUUAGACCUAGUACAAACAUAAUAUUAGAAAUUUUAGACCUUAUUACUAUAACUGAACCAAAUCAAAACAAUAGCCAAAGAUCCACAACCAAAAGCAAAAAGAAGUCCAAAAUGGAUCCAUGACAAGUGCCAGCGCAACUGAGGUAAUUGCAAGCCAAUAACAAGGCAUGUUAGAGUCAUACCUUUUUCCCUUCUGUGGAAAAACAACACAAUCCACCAUAUGAUGUAAAGCUGGCACAUCUAUGGCAGUUAGAACACGCACAUCACCUGGAUGUAAGCAAGGAUUCUUGGCAACAACUACUUUUCCCUGUACAACAAAGCUUUGAUCUGAGUCAGUACCAAUGAACACAAUUGACUCAUCCCACAUCUGUUGUUUUCUUCUACCGGAAUACUGCAGAAACACCUGGCCAUAUUCCAAACUUUGGGUUUCGUCAAGGCAUCCCAUCAUUGAUCUUCCUUCAGGAAGAAAUAUCCUCGUUUUUGUCCGCAAUUCAGACAAUUUUGUUGCUCUGAAUGUUCGCAACAUCAUCGAUAGAAAAGGCUCAGCAUCAGGCUUAUAACCACACUUUAGCAUUUCUUUGAGAAUGUUACCAUUCUCCCCCGGGGACAUUAAAUCUAGAGCCUCUUGUGCUCGUAGGGGAUCAACUAAAAUGGCAUUUAGCUGAUCUACAGCAUUUUUUUGUUUUUUCUCGAACACGUGAUCUCGAACGCCAAGUGUUGAUAGAAGAGUGAUCAAUUGGCGAUUAAGAAAGCAAGGCUGAUAUUUGCUCCAUCCCAAGACAUUUAGCUUUGUCUCUUUUGAUUUGUACUUAAACAUGCUCGUUCUGAGUGAUAGUUUAACACAUGACGUUGGAUCAACCGCUACAACACCUUUAUAUCCAGCAUAGCGAAUUUGAAACGCAGAAGGACUAUAGCCCUUCAAGCCACAUUUUCUUGCAACUUUCCGAGCGAACUCUCCAGAUAUUUUCCCAAUGCCAUCAGAAAAGACAUAAUUCAUAUCCUCAACAAGUGACUUGACUUCAAUAUCCGGAAUGAGUUCAACUUCAUCUUCACCUACAUUGAGAGUUUCGGUAGAUGAACUCAAGGAUUGGCCAAGUCUCGCGGCAUAUUUUGCCACAUUUCUUAUUGCACUGAAUUUACCCCUAUCUGCCCUAAUAGUUGCAGCAGUUGUACCAUCUGUUGGAGCAAACAUCCAAGCAGAAUUUUCGCGUAACUGACUGGAUGAGAAGGCAAGAAAUUCAAAAUGCUUAUCACCUAUUUUUAUGCCAUUCUUGAGAAUAGAAAGGAUCCUUUCAUAUAUAUCCGUUCUCCCAUGUCCCGAAGCAGUGCGAGGAGAUAAAUCAGUUGAAUACAUUUUAUCCAGGUCCUCAUCCACAAAAGAAAUACGGAUAAAAUUGUCAAUGUACUUAGAAUACCUCCGCAAUACAUGAUUUGAGACAUUAAUUUCUGGACCAAAAAAAUACACCCUGCAUGGUGUUAUUUGCACCCUAUGUACAUAAACCAAGCCAGCAUCUAAUGAUAUUGAAGACAGUUUUGUAGAAUGCCGGGAGGUGAGAUAUUUCUUGUGUUGCUCAAUCAACCACUGUGAAGGCUCAUAACAACAUUCUUUCAAAUGGAACAGCUUGUCCAAGGCAUCUAGGAUUAUGUCCAUUUCCAUGCUCCCUGGAUCAACCAUUCGAUAAAAGGACAAAUCAAGAGAAGGUCCAGCUAGACAGCCAUUCUGAACUAACAAAUUUAUCUUAAAGAUGAUCUCAUAAGGCAAGUCAACUCCUCUGGGAGGGCCUACGAUUGGAACUAGAUCCGC